GUGACUAAUCUAUUAUCCAUUUUAUCUAUCUAUAAUCAAAUGUCAAUGAAUAAUCUGAGUACGUGACCAAGUUGCUGACAGAGUUUUAUCAAAUUGUCAUUUUAGUUUAUGAAAGAUUUAAACUGGACGAGGAACGGCAAGCCUGUCUAAAAGUCAAUCUCCAUGCAUUAGUUCCAAGAAGACAGUAUAUGCAACAACACAGAUAAAAAGAAAUUCUUCAGCACAACUUGGCUUAUCACGUUUUAUACUCGGACUAAUAUGCUUCUCAGUUGUAAGCAUGACAUUUGCAUAGUUCAAAAAUGAGACGUGCAGUGCCUUAGAAGAAGCUAUAAUGUAGUAAUACUAAUAAGAAAUGUAUAGACUAUCAGCCAAAAAAACAUACGAGUACUUACAUGCAGCUCUAACUUCUCAAUUGAAGGAGCAGACCUCAGAAAAGAGACCAACGACAAGCUGUCGAUUUCUUCGACAUAGACCAACUUCAGUUGUAAAUAUGUCAUCCGAGAAAACUUGAACGGGUAAGACAUCAAACAGGGAACCUGAAAGAUAGAUAAUCAAAGGCCAUGACACGAAUACAUAAUAUAAUAGGAUAAUCCACGAUAUAAAAGAUGGUUGAAGAGCAAACCUCUGGUGAUUUACAGUCUGCAUUAUGGGUCAGCUGUUGCACAUUUAUAAGCACUUCACCAAGAACUGUAAUAGUGUGCUCCAACGUGUCUCCAAGAUACCAUAUGUUUGCACAUUUCAGUUCUGAUGAUUUACUGAGGUCAAUAGGCACCGCCACUCCUCUGUAUUCGAAAGUCGCAAGGUUCACAGCAUUGAAUGCUAUAUUUGUUAAUCUGCAGGAGGCAAUUUUCAAGUAUAGCAGGUGAGGCAGUGGGCCGUUAACCUUUAGUUCACCAUUGAGAUGACAUCUAACAAUACUCAGCCACUCCAGGUUACAGCAGUUUGACAACAUAUGUUGAAUAUCCUUCCCACUGACAUUCACUAUGCUCAGAUCAAGCUUCCUUAGGUUAGGGAAACCACUAAAAUGCAUUGGUGGCUGGAAAUCUACAAAGCUAAGAUGAAGUUUCUGUAGACGGCAUAUACUGUCCCCGUCCAAAAGCUCAAAUGGAAAUUUGUACUGAUCAUCAGAACCUGGAGGUUGACGCUGUUCUCGUGCUAAAUCAAAAACUAGUGCCUUUGUCCGCGAUGAUACAGCAAAACGAACCCAAUUAUCAAGAUGCUCAACCAGCAUCCAGUUCAACUCAAUUUUGAUUUCAAGCUCUUCAACCAACUUGCCACGGCACUGUCCCAGGACCCUAUUAACAAUGCGACUGAACACUAGAUUAUACACUCUUUCCCCAUAAUUAUUCUUGCCACAUAUUGUAUCUCCAUCGAAACUCAGUUUAGGACAAACUGUCCACAAGUAUCUCCAUUUUCUUGAGACGGCACUGGUUCUUAAAGCCUCUUCCAGAGACAAUUUUGAGAAAACUGUGCACAGUACGCCCUGCAUAACAAAAAAUAUAAUGUAGUUGCACAAAAGUAGAAACUAGUAAUCUGCAACCAACAGACGGGCUGGAGCACGAGAUUUUAGCGUGGUACCUCUGGAAGGUCUCCAAGCAGAUCAAUCGCUGGUUCCUCUACCCCGUAAAGGAUGUAGUCGGACAAAACUCCAAAGAUGAGAAUGCCACACAGUUUGAAUGGAUCGUUUGCUGAUAUCCCCUUGGCAUGGAUUGCUCCGCAAACCAGAAUGCUCAGCGCAGCCGAAACCGGUCAUUUGCUAUCUGCUUUCGACAGAACACUUCACUGCGUCCUAUGUGCUCAGACAUAGCCCUGAAAGCCAGAAUGCUCAGCGGUUCAAACUGAUGGCCUGCUAUCCUGUUGCUGCUGCUGCUGCUGGCUCCUGGGUGGUGAUGUUGCCUUGGAUGGCUAUUAUCCACCACUGCAGUUGUUCCAAGCAUGAAGGUGAGCAUGUUCCCCAUUGUAAACUGCAGAAACAAAGAGAAGCCUAAUUAAAUUUAAAACAUAUUUUCUCUAACAAAUUUUCCCAAAGAAAAAACACGCACACACAAAAGUUGCUUCCUUUACUGGGGACAGGCCAGGGGCGGAUCCGGUGUGCAUCCAUAAUUUCUGGAUGGAGCCAAUGGAGUUUAACUAAUCAUGGAUGGAUGGAUGUAUGCUCAUACCUCGGAAAGCAGAGGCUGGAAGUGUGGACCGGGCUGAGACAAGCAGGGGGCGACGGCGGCGCGUGAAGGGCAGAGGGGGUGGGGGCCGCAGCGGAGGAGGAGAAGAGGUGGGGCACCGGCAGCGGCAGGUCGAGCCGCGGUGGGUNNNNNNNNNNAGGGGAAAGAGCAUCUUCAUACCUUUGAAGAUUGCUAAGCGGAAGCGUUGCUAGAACGCGGUUGAUGGAGUCGUACUCGCGGCGAUUCCGAUCUAGUGCCGAACAACGGCACCUCCGCGUUCAACACACGUGCAGCCCGGUGACGUCUCCCGCACCUUGAUCCAGCAAGGAGGAGGGAGAGGUUGGGAAGAAGACCAGAAACACGACGGCAUGGUGUUGGUGGAGAGACGAGGUCUCCCGGCAGGGCUUCGCCAAGCGCCGGCAGAGAGGAGGAGGGAGAGUAGCAGGGCUGCGCCGAGAGAGAGAGAUUUUCCCGUGUCUCAAACAGCCCCGAACCUCAUCUAUAUAUAGGGGGAGAGGGAGGGGGCGCAGCCCUUAGGGUUCCCACCCCUAAGGGGUGCAACAGCCCUUAGAUGGGAGAGGGGUGGCGGCCAGGGCAAGGGGGAGGGGUGGCGCACCCCUCUGGUGGGCCUAAGGCCCACCUAAAUUAGGGUUCCCCCUUUCCCCCUUUUUUCUGGUGCCCAUGGGCUGGGUGGGGGGCGCACCAGCCCACUUAGGGGCUGGUUCCCUUCCCCACUUAGCCNNNNNNNNNNNNNNNNNNNNNNNNNNNNNNCGGACCAUUCCGGAGCUCCUCGUGACGUCCGGGAUCUCAUCCGGGACUCCGAAAAAAUUUCGGUAAUCUCGUAUAACAAUUCCCUAUAACCCUAGCGUCAUCGAACCUUAAGUGUGUAGACCCUACGCGUUCGGGAGACAGGCAGACAUGACCGAGACACCUCUCUCGCCAAUAACCAUCAGCGGGGUAUGGAUACCCAUGGUGGCUCCCACUAGCUCCACGAUGAUCUCAUCGGAUNNNNNNNNNNUGGACCAUUCCGGAGCUCCUCGUGAUGUCCGGGAUCUCAUCCGGGACUCCGAACAAAUUUUGGUAAUCUCGUAUAACAAUUCCCUAUAACCCUAGCGUCAUCGAACCUUAAGUGUGUAGACCCUACGGGUUCGGGAGACAGGCAGACAUGACCGAGACACCUCUCUGGCCAAUAACCAUCAGCGGGGUCUGGAUACCCAUGGUGGCUCCCACUAGCUCCACGAUGAUCUCAUCGGAUGAACCACGAUGUCAAGGAUUCAAUCAAUCCCGUAUACGAUUCCCUUUGUCUGUCGGUAUAGAAUUUGCCCGAGAUUCGAUCGUCGGUAUACCUAUACCUUGUUCAAUCUCGUUACCGGUAAGUAUCUUUACUCGUUCCGUAGCACAUCAUCGUGUGACCAACUCCUUAGUCACAUUGAGCUCAUGAUGAUGUUCNNNNNNNNNNNNNNNNNNNNNNCUUCUACCGAGUGGGCCCAGAGAUACCUCUCCGUCACACGGAGUGACAAAUCCCGAUCUCGAUUCGCGCCAACCCAAGAGACACUUUCGGAGGUACCCGUAGUGCACCUUUAUAGUCACCCAGUUACGUUGUGACGUUUGAUACACCCAAAGCACUCCUACGGUGUCCGGGAGUUGCACAAUCUCACGGUCGAAGGAAAAGAUACUUGACAUUAGAAAAGCAUUAGCAUACGAACAAUACGAUCUAGUGCUAGGCUUAGGAUUGGGUCUUGUCCACCACAUCAUUCUCCCAAUGAUGUGAUCCCGUUAUCAAUGACAUCCAAUGUCCAUGAUCAGGAAACCAUGAUCAUCUAUUGACUAACGAGCUAGCCAACUAGAGGCUUGCUAGGGACACAUUGUGAUCUAUUCAUUCACACAUGUAUUACUGUUUCCUGUUAAUACAAUUAUAGCAUGAACGAUAUACGAUUAUCAUGAACAAGGAAAUAUGAUAAUAAUCAUUUUAUUAUUGCCUCUAGGGCAUAUUUCCAACAGUCUCCCACUUGCACUAGAGUCAAUAAUCUAGUUACAUUGUGAUGUAUCGAACACCCAUAGCAUUAUGGUGCUGAUCAUGUUUUGCUCGUGGAAGAGGUUUAGUCAACGGGUCUGCAAUAUUCAGAUCCGUGUGUACUUUACAAAUAUCUAUCACUCCACUCUGGACAUGGUCNNNNNNNNNNCAAUUAUCAACAUGUCGCCAAACAAAAAUAAUUGAUAAACCCAAUCAUCUAUGCAUAAACAGUAUCUAAUAAAUAGAUUAUAAGUGGCCAGUUGCAACAAUGAAGAGGCAAUGUUGAUGAUAAUUUUAUAUUUUUUAAUCAAUCAUCAUGAUAAAAUCUCAUACUGAAUAGAUUAUACCUAUAUAAAUAAAUAUCAUAGACAUACCUUCUUUCUUUGUAAUUUUGUAGUAGCGGAUUUCAUCUCCGAGGAGUCAGUAUAAUCAGCAUGUGAGGUAGUGAUUUGUUAUCUCUAGCAGUAUGUUCCUCCUACGACUCAGGCCUACUCUCACUCGAGGCACCACCAUGCACACACAAGAGAUGAAUAUCAAUCGUCGAGGCAGCGCCAUGGACGCACAAGAGAUGAAUAUCAAUCGUCGAGGCAGCGCCAUGGAUGCACAAGAGAUGAAUAUCAAUCGUCGCCCGGGGAGAGAUCCAUUCUAUCGUUUUAGAAUCUGUUCAUACUCCUGCAGUACUCUCAAGGAGAGACCCAUUCUCGCGUUUCAGGGUCUGUUCAUACGGCUGCAGUAGUCUCGUGGAUUAAGGAAGUAAAUAAGAUUCUAGAAAAAAGGAAGUAACUCAGGAGCGAUUUUUUUUUCUAUAACAACCCAUAACUAAUCGCAUGCAAUAUCUAAUAUUUUCCCAACCGUACCAGCAAGGCCUCUCAAUUUAGCAGGAAGGAAAUCAGGGCAAAGGAGUACGCCUGAAUUCUAGGAUCGUAGAUUUAGGAAGGAAGUCGUAGAUUAAGGAAAGCGUCCCUAAAACAAAGAAGGAAAUCACAGCAGGAAUGAAAUCAGGGAUAGUACGUAAUAUAAUUGGGCAUUUUGGGGCCCUGCUGGCACCAGGGGCCUGGGGCGGUCGCCCCUCUCGCCCCCCCCCCCCNNNNNNNNNNAUGAGUUCAUUGGCGUGUGACUUUAUCAAGCAUGGUUCGUUAGAUACUCAAUGGAAAAUAUCAACAAAUCCCCAGUUUUGGCCUUUCUUUGAGGUACACGCCAUCCCUUGGUAUGUACUUUAGGAAUUUAUAUCAUCCCUUAGUAUCACAUAUAGUAACCAUAACUUGUUUAAUGCAGAACUGCCUAGGGGCAAUAGAUGGGACUCAUGUUCCCAUGACCAUAGCAUCCAAUGAGGAUGCUCCAUACAGGAAUAGAAAGGGGACCCUCUCCCAAAAUGUGAUGGUCGCCUGUGACUUCGAUCUCAACUUUGUUUAUGUGUCAGCUGGUUGGGAGGGGUCUGCCUCAGAUGUCGGAGUACUGAAAUCUGCCAUUCAAUCUGGUUUUCAUGUACCUCCGGGCAAGUACUAUUUGGUUGACGGAGGCUACGCAAAUACACCAUAGUUCCUAGCUCCGUACUGUGGAGUCCGUUAUCAUCUACAAGAUUUUGGUAGAGGUGGUCCUCGUCCAAAGAAUCCGAAAGAACUUUUCAAUCUAAGGCAUGCCCGCCUACGGAACCAUAUAGAGCGCACGAUUGGUGUCUGGAAAAUGCGAUUUCCUAUUUUAAAAGUUGGCACGUGCUACGGCAACAAAAGUCCUUCCCUGGCGCGUAGGAAUUCUUCUUAUUACUUCUCUGGUUUGCGUCGGUUUUUCCCUUGAAGAGGAAAGGGUGAUGCAGCACAGGAGCAGUAAGUAUUUCCCUCAGUUUGAGAACCAAGGUAUCGAUCCAGAAGGAGGGCCUCGUCAAGUCCAAAGUACAUGCGUAAACACAAACAAGCUUGCACCCAACACUUCAAAGGGGUUGUCAAUCCCUUCAAGAUUGUUUGCAAAGUGAGAUCUGAAGGCGGAAAGAGCAACGAAGUAAAAAGUGUAAGGCUGAAAAUAUGGUGUGGAGUAGACCCUGGGGGGCAUAGUGUUCACUAGAGGCUUCUCUCAUAAUAGCAAAUAUCACGGUGGGUGAACAAAUUACUGUCGAGCAAUUUAUAGAACCGCGUAAAGUCAUGACGAUAUCUAAGGCAAUGAUCAUGCAUAUAGGCAUCACGUCCGAGACAAGUAGACCGAUACUUUCUGCAUCUACUACUAUUACUCCACACAUCGACCGCUAUCCAGCAUGCAUCUAGUGUAUUGAGUUCAUGACGAACAGAUUAACGCUUUAAGCAAGAUGACAUGAUGUAGAGGGAUAAUCUCAAACCAAUGAUGAAACCCCCAUCUUUUUACCCUUGAUGGCAACAACACGAUGCGUGCCUCGCUACCCCUUCUGUCACUGGGUGAGGUCACCGCACGGUAUGAACCCAAAACCAAACACUUCUCCCAUUGCAAGAAUUAUGAACUAGUUGGCCAAACAAAACCCACAACUCGAAGAGAAUUACAAGGAUAUGAAAUCAUGCAUAAGACAGAUCAGAAGAAACUCGAAUAAGAUUCAUAGAUAAUCUGAUCAUAAAUCCACAAUUCAUCGGAUCUCGACAAACACACCGCAAAAGAAGAUUACAUCGGAUAGAUCUCCAUGAAGAUCAUGGAGAACUUUGUAUUGAAGAUCCAAGAGAGAGAAGAAGUCAUCUAGUUACUAGCUAUGGACCCGUAGGUCUAUGGUGAACUACUCACGCAUCAUCGAAGAGGUCAUGGUGUUGAUGAAGAAGCCCUCCGUAUCCGAAUCCCCCCUCCGGCAGGGCACCAGGACGUGCCCCAGAUGGGAUCUUGCGGAGACAGAAGCUUGCGGCGACGGAAAAGCGAUUGCGAUCGUCUCUUGAUUUUUUUUAGGAAUAUUUGGGAAUAUAUAGGCGCAAGAUCUAGGUCAAGGGACCUCCAGGGGGCCCACAAGCCUGGAUGGCGCGGCCCCCUGGCCGCGAGGUGGGGGCUUGUGGGGCCCCUAACGCUCCUCUGGCUUGGCUCCCAAGUUCUCCGAUCUUCUUCCGUUCCAAAAAAAAUCUUUUCGAGGAUUUUCUUCCGUUUGGACUCCGUUUCAAAAUCUCCUCUGAAAGGGGUCAAAAGCAUGGAAAAAAUAGGAACUAGCACUUGGCACUGAGUUAAUAAGUUAGUCCCAGAAAAUAAAUAAAAAACAUGCAAAACAUCGAGAGUUUGACAAGAUAAUAGCAUGAAACCAUUAAAAAUCAGGGCCAGUCCUGGGAUUUUGGGGGCCGAGGGCGAAACUAGAUCUAGGGGCCCUUAAGAGAAACACAAGAAAAAUACAAGAACAUAGGUAAAAUCGUCAACCAAAGGAAAACCAAUAAUAUCUAUAUUACAAAUCUCUUCUUCACUAAUAUGUCUCAUUAAGCUUACCUAAUUUCUUUGACCAUAAUCAUCUAUAAUAAAAACCGAUACUUCAUCAUUUAAAUGCUCAAGAUCACUCACUUUUGUUAUCACACAAGAUGUAAAUCCCUCACCUCAUAUGGAUUAAAAAUUAGUUUAUUACUCCACAACAAUUUGUUGGGUAACGUAGCAUAAAUUCAAAAUUUUCCUACGCAUGUUCAGAUCUUCCUAUGGAGAGACCAGCAACGAGAGNNNNNNNNNNGGUCGGUCGGACUGAGGAGAGUACGGCGAGGAGUAGAGAGGCGCACCGGCGGCGAGUAAAACAAUGAAGGAAGGAAGGUAUCCGAGGAAGACGAUGGGGAUUUCUUGUGCCACUUCUUUUCGCCUUUUCUUUUAUUAUUAUUAUUAAUAAUAUUUAGCAGCUUAUUAUUAAGCACAAUCCAAAAAGAACUCUAAAUUUAUUUGUGUCACAUCUUAAUUUCAAAGUCCUCCUCUUCCCGGAUUCAGUUUAGGCCCUGCUUGGUUGGUCGCUUUGAGGCCCAAUAUACCUAUAAAAUAUACUCAUGUAAGAAAAAUACAAAUGGGCUGCUUGGUUGAUCGUUUUUGGACCGUAAAUUUUACAGUGGUUUUCCAUUUUACACCUGUAAUAGGCCCGUAUCUGAUACACACCACGUCCCGUCGUUUUUUCCCCACAUCCCAUCGUUUCUCCCCUCCUCUCGUUGGAAACCAGAUCGGAUCGAGGGUUGUGCCGCCGGGGGCUCCACUGGAUCGAGGGUUGCGUCGUCGGGGGGCUCCACCGGAUCGAGGGCGCCACCGGACGAACCAACGACGGAGGCUCCUGACCUCGACGCAGGCUCGCUCCUGACCUCGACGACUCACUCCUCCAACUGCGACGACGACUCCUCCUCCUCCUCCAUGGCUCGUUGCUGGCCUCGACGAAGGCUCCCUCCUCCAACCGCGGCGGCGACUCCCUCCUCCUCCUCCACGGCCUCCUCUGCUCUAUCGCGACCCCAUUUCCGCCGACGAUCUGGUGUGCUUCUCUCUCUCCCCCCCUCCUCCUCCACUCCUCCUCGUUGAUGUUGCUAGUAUGUAAUUUUAGCGAGUUCACCUCGUUGAUUUAUUGCAUGUUCCUGCUUGCUUUCCCUUCACUGUCUAGAUUUGAGAGAUACUAGUGCUCUGAUGUGCCUGAUCUUGUGAUCGUGGGUGAGGGUGAUAGAACUGAAAUCAGUAGUUACUAGCUACAGGACCGGACCUAGCUCAACUCUACAUGGUCGGUUUUGUGAUGCAUUGACAGUUAACAAACUGGCACUAUGCAGUUCAGUAGUAAUACCACAUUAAUAAGUUACAAAGGAGGAGAAAGUGCUAGAUGGUUCAGAAAGCUCUGUAGUAGUAAAAGCUCAUUUUUCUAGUUUUUAUUCAAGAAAUAUAAUGAAUCUGAAAACUUGUUAGGCCAAUUGUUAGCAUUCUGUUAUGUGGCACCUUUGUUCAGUUUCAUCCAAUUGUUAGUAUUCAGGUUCGGUCAUUUGGCAAGAAACUAAUGUGCUAGUGAUCCUUUUAUUUCCAUUGUCAUAACAUAGAUUAUAUACAUUGCUGUAUUUACUUUGAAGGAGAGUUGAGGUAUUUAUUUUGUAAUCUCUUCUCGCUAGAUAAUGGAUACGAGUAACCAUGAUGAUGGAUAUGAGUCAUGUAUUGAUUCUGAAGAGGAGGAGGAGGAGAUGAUGUUUCUUGUCUUCCCAACAUUAUAUUGUAUAUCUUCUAGGAGAGAAUUUAUUUCCAAUAAACACAUCCAUUCUUACGGGAGCUAAAUAUAUCCGAGAAAUAUUGGAUGGCCAUCCUCAACGGUGCCUUGAUAUUCUUAGGAUGGAAUCCCACAUCUUCCAAGCUCUAUGCGACCAUCUUAAAUCCAGAAAACUUCUACGAAAUUCAAAAGGAGUCAGCGUUGAAGAGCAACUAGGGAUGUUUAUGUACAUGCUUUCCAGGAAUGCGAGUUAUCGUACGCUGACUGAUAGGUUUCAGCACAGUCCGGAAACGGUGCAUAGACAUAUCAAUGGAUGCUUCAACGCUAUGAGUGUUGGGUAACGUAGCAUAAAUUCAAAAAUUUCCUACGCAUGUUCAGAUCUUCCUAUGGAGAGACCAGCAACGAGAGNNNNNNNNNNNNNNNNNNNNNNNNNNNNNNNNNNNNNNNNNNNNNNNNNNNNNNNNNNNNNNNNNNNNNNNNNNNNNNNNNNNNNNNNNNNNNNNNNNNNCAUAUAUAUAUAUAUAUAUAUAUAUAUAUAUUUAAUAUUUUAUAAAUGUUUUAUUACUAUUUUUUAAACAUUUAUCAGCAUUUGUUUUUCAAAUACUUGAUUUACAUGUGUAUAUAUACAUGAUCAAAGUUUUUCAUCAUCUUUUAGUUCAAGGUCAAAACAAUUUAUAUACACAACUAAAAUUUCCGAAAUGCUUGAUUAUUUUUAAAAAUACUUGUUCAACACUUGUUUUCAAAAUGCUUGAUUAAAACUUUUAUAUAUGCCAUCAACAAGUUAUAUCAAUGUCGAAUACAUGAUCAAUAUUUUUUCUAUAAAUACUCAUUCUUUCCCGAAUGCUUUUUCAAAAAACAAUUAUAUUUUAUCAACAUUUUACAACUAGUUUCUGUAGGAUUGUUUUUGUAAUAUAUAUAAAAGUGCAAAAACAAAUCAAAAACGCAAACAGAAAACAGAUAGAAAACAAAAACAGACCGUAGCCUGCUGCGCGCGUGGGCUAGCCCAUAUUGCUUCCCUUUAGCGAGUCGGAGGCUGGACUCCUUAAAGGCGGGAUACUGGGAAGGGACCUCCUAUACCGCGCUGCAGGCGCCCGUUUGUCCUCAUGGCGCCUGCAGCGCCCCGCCUUAGGCCGGCCCAGCAAACAUAUCUGGCGCCCCUGCACGACCCUGAAAAUGUUUAUUAAUUUUCAAAAGGAAAAUACACCGAUUUUGCAAAACAAAAAAAUCAAACGGAAAAAAUGUUAACAGAUUAAAAAAAUAAUACUAAUCAAAAUUUAAAAAUGUUUAUCACCAUUUGAUAAAGGUUCAUUACUUUUUUUAAGAAGUUCAGCGAUUUUAGAAAAUGUUCAUUAAAUUUGAGAAAAAGUUAAUUAGUUUUUAAAACAAUUUCAUAGAAAUUUGAAAAAAAAAUCAUCAAAUUCAAAAAAGUUAAUCAUAAUUUUAAAAUAGUUCACCAAAUUUGAAUAGAGUUCAUCGAUUUCAAAAAACUUCAUAGAAUUUUCAAAAAAGUUCAUUGAAUUUGAAAGGAGUUCAUAGAUUCCAAAAAAGUUCAUAGAAUUUUUAAAAAAACUUCAUUGAUUUUUUAAAAAAUCCAUAAAUUUUGAAAACAAAUCAUCAAGUUUGGAAACAGUUCAUUGAAUUUGAGAAAGUUUCAUCAUAUUGAAAAAGCUUCCACAAAUUUAAGAAAAAAACAGAAUAAAACCUUCCCAAAACCGGGCUGAUAAAACUGGGUGCAGGAAGUGAUAAAAAGGCUGAAGGGAUGUAGUAUUCACAUCGACAGUGAUAAAAAGUGGUGGCUCAAUUUCUUCCUCGGAAGAAGUCGCGUGUUCGAAACACGGUGUCGCACCUUAUUUUUGAAGUUUCAAACAAAAAAGUAAGGGCUAAUGAGCCGGCCCAAUUGCGACAGGANNNNNNNNNNNNNNNNNNNNNNNNNNNNNNNNNNNNNNNNNNNNNNNNNNNNNNNNNNNNNNNNNNNNNNNNNNNNNNNNNNNNNNNNNNNNNNNNNNNNCUCAUCCCCUCUCGUAGAUGGACAUCACCAUGAUAGGUCUUCGUGCGCAUAGGAAAUUUUUUGUUUCCCAUGCGACGUUCCCUAACAGUGGCAUCAUGAGCUAGGUUCAUGCGUAGAUGUCUUCUCGAGUAGAACACAAAAGGUUUUGUGGGCGGUGAUGUGCGUUUUGAUGCCCUCCUUAGUCUUUUCUUGAUUCCGCGGUAUUGUUGGAUUGAAGCGGCUUGGACCGACGUUACUCGUACGCUUACGAGAGACUGGUUUCAUCGUUACGAGUAACCCCCUUUGCUCAAAGAUGACUGGCAAGUGACGGUUUCUCCAACUUUACUUGAAUCGGAUUUGACCGAGGAGGUCCUUGGAUGAGGUUAAAUAGCAACUCAUAUAUCUCCGUUGUGGUGUUUGCGUAAGUAAGAUGCGAUCCUACUAGACACCCUUGGUCACCACGUAAAACAUGCAACAACAAAAUUAGAGGACGUCUAACUUGUUUUUGCAGGGUAUGAUUGUGAUGUGAUAUGGCCAACGAUGUGAUGUGAUAUAUUGGAUGUAUGNNNNNNNNNNNNNNNNNNNNNNNNNNNNNNNNNNNNNNNNNNNNNNNNNNNNNNNNNNNNNNNNNNNNNNNNNNNNNNNNNNNNNNNNNNNNNNNNNNNNGUGAGAACAUAACGAUAACCGCCGCGAGCUUCAACGUUCAUUGGACCACACACAUCAGUAUGUAUUAUUUCCAAUAAGUCGGUUGCUCUCUCCAUUAUUACUGAGAAUGGAGUCUUAGUCAUCUUGCCCAUGAGGCACGGUUCGCAUGUGUCAAAUGAUUCAAAGUCAAGAGACUCUAGCAGUCCAUCAGUAUGGAGCUUCUUCAUGCGCUUAACGCCGAUAUGACCAAGGCGGCAGUGCCACAAGUAUGUGGGACUAUCAUUAUCAACUUUGCAUCUUUUGGUACUCACACUAUGAAUAUGUGUAACAUCACGAUCGAGAUUCAUCAAGAAUAAACCAUUCACCAGCGGAGCAUGACCAUAAAACAUAUCACUCAUGUAAAUAGAACAACCAUUAUUCUAUGACUUAAAUGAGUAGCCGUCUCGCAUUAAGCAAGACCCUGAUACAAUNNNNNNNNNNCAGAUUCAUCAAGAAUAAACCAUUCACCAGCGAAGCAUGACCAUAAAACAUAUCACUCAUAUAAAUAGAACAACCAUUAUUCUCUGACUUAAAUGAGUAGCCGUCUCGCAUUAAGCAAGACCCUGAUACAAUGUUCAUGCUUAAAGCUGGUACUAAAUAACAAUUAUUAAGGUUCAAAACUAAUCCCGACGGUAGAUGUAGAGGUAGCGUGCCGACGGCGAUCACAUCGACCUUUGAACCAUUCUCGACGCGCAUCGUCACCUCGUCCUUGGCCAGUCUCCGCUUAUUCCGCAGUUCCUGCUUUGAGUUGCAAAUGUGAGCAACAGCACCGGUAUCAAAUACCCAGGAGCUACUACGAGCGCUGGUAAGGUAUACAUCAAUAACAUGUAUAUCACAUAUACCUUUAACGUUGUCGGCCUUCUUGUCCGCUAAGUAUUUGCGGCAGUUCCGCUUCCAGUGACCUUUUCCCUUGCAGUAGAAGCACUCAGUCUUAGGCUUGGGUCCGUUCUUUUUCUUCUUCCCGGCAUUUGGCUUACCGGGCGCGGCAACAGCUUUGCUGUCUUUCUUGAAGUUCUUCUUACCCCUGCCUUUCUUGAAACUAGUGGUCUUGUUGACCAUCAACACUUGAUGCUCCUUCUUGAUUUCUACUUCUGCAGACUUGAGCAUUGAGUACAACUCGGGAAUGGUUUUCUCCAUCCCUUGCAUGUUGUAGUUAAGCACAAAGCCUUUGUAGCUUGGUGGGAGAGACUGGAGGAUUCUGUCAAUGAUAGCAUCAUCCGGAAGUUCGACUCCAAGUGAAGUCAGACGACCGUGUAACCCAGACAUUUUGAGUAUGUGCUCACUGACAGAACUGUUCUCCUCCAUCUUACAGCUGAAGAACUUGUCGGAGACUUCAUAUCUCUCGGCACGGGCAUGAGCUUGAAAAACUAGCUUCAGCUCUUGGAACAUCUCAUAUGCCCCGUGUUGCUCAAAACGUCUUUGGAGCCCCGUUUCUAAACUGUAUAACAUGCCACACCUGACUAGAGAGUAGUCAUCACUCCGCGCUUGCCAGACGUUUAGAAUGUCCUGGGCUGCUGCGGGAGCGGGAGGGUCACCUAGCGGCGCAUUAAGNNNNNNNNNNCCUUUGGAGCUCCGUUUCUAAACUGUAUAACAUGCCACACCUGACCAGAGAGUAGUCAUCACUCCGUGCUUGCCAGACAUUUAGAACGUCCUGGGCUGCUGCGGGAGCGGGAGGGUCACCUAGCGGCGCAUUAAGGACAUAAGCCUUUUUAGCUGCUUCAAGGAUGAGCUUCAGGUUGCGAACCCAGUCCCCAUAGUUGCUACCAUCAUCUUUCAGCUUGUUUUUCUCUAGGAAUGCGUUGAAGUUGAGGUUGACGUUGGACAUCUACAAUAUUUAUAAAGACAACUUUUAGACUAAGUUCAUGACAAUUAAGUUCAUUUAAUCAAAUUAAGUAUGAACUCUCACUUAAAUCGACAUCCCUCUAGUCAUCUAAGUGAUACAUGAUCCAUGUUGACUAAGCCGUGUCCGAUCAUCACGUGAGACGGACUAGUCACCAUGGUGAGCAACUUCAUGCUGAUCGUAUUCAACCAUACGACUCAUGUUUGACCUUUCGGUCUCUUGUAUUCGAGGUCAUGUCUGUACAUGCUAACCUCUUCGAGUCAACCUAAGUGUUUCGCGUGUGUAAAUCUGGCUUACACCCGUUGUAUGCGAACGUUAGAAUCUAUCACACCCGAUCAUCACGUGGUGCUUCGAGACAACGAACCUUCGCAAUGGUGCACACUUAGGGGAAUACGUUCUCGAAAUUUUAAGAGGGAUCAUCUUAUUAUGCUACCGACGUUUUAAGCAAUAAGAUGUGAAACAUCAUAAACAUCACAAUGCAAUCAUAUAGUGACAUGAUAUGGCCAUUAUCANNNNNNNNNNCGGUGCACACUUAGGGGAAAUACGUUCUCGAAAUUUUAAGAGGGAUCAUCUUAUUAUGCUACCGUCGUUUUAAGCAAUAAGAUGUAAAACAUGAUAAACAUCACAAUGCAAUCAUAUAGUGACAUGAUAUGGCCAUUAUCAUCUUUGCUCAUUCGAUUUCCAUCUUCAGGCAUCGCAUGAUCAUCAUCGUCACCGGCGUGACACCAUGAUCUCCAUCAUCAUGUUCUCCAUCAUCGUGUCUCCGUGAAGUCGUCACGCCAACUACUACUAUCACUACUACUAUAGCUAACCGUUAGCAAUGAAGUAAACGUAGUAAGCACAUGGCGUUGCAUCUCAUAUAAUAAAUUAAGACAACUCCUAUGGCUCCUGCCGGUUGUCAUACUCAUCNNNNNNNNNNGGCUAACCGUUAGCAAUGAACUAAAAGUAGUAAGCACAUGGCGUUGCAUCUCAUACAAUAAAUUAAGACAACUCCUAUGGCUCCUGCCGGUUGUCAUACUCAUCGACAUGCAAGUCGUGAAACCUAUUACAAUAACAUGAUCAUCUCAUACAUCAUACAUGCAACAUCACAACUUUGGCCAUAUCACAUCACAUGUCAAACCCUGCAAAAACAAGUUAGACGUCCACUAAUUGUUGUUGCAAGUUUUACGUGGCUGAUUUGGGUUUCUAGCAAGAACGCCUUCUUACCUACGUGACAGCCACAACGAUGAUAUGCCAAAGCUAUUUACCCUUCAUAAGGACCCUUUUCAUCAAAUCCAAUCCAACUAGAGUAGGAGAGACAGACACCUGCUAGCCACCUUUAUGCACGAUGUGCAUGUCUGUCGGUGGAACCAGUCUCACGUAAGCGUACGUGUAAGGUCAGUCCGGGCCGCUUCAUCCCACAAUACCGCCGGAAAAGAAUAAGACUAGNNNNNNNNNNGACUAGAGUAGGAGAGACAGACACCCGCUAGCCACCUUUAUGCACGAUGUGCAUGUCUGUCGGUGGAACCAUUCUCACGUAAGCGUACGUGUAAGGUCGGUCCGGGCCGCUUCAUCCCACAAUACCGCCGGAAAAGAAUAAGACUAGUAACGGCAAGCAAAUUGACAAACCAUCGCCCACAACUUUUGUGUUCUACUCGUGCAUAGAAUCUACGCAUAGAAAACCUGGCUCGGAUGCCACUGAUGGGUAACGUAGCAUAAAUUCAACACACGUGCAGCCCGGUGACGUCUCCCGCACCUUGAUCCAGCAAGGAGGAGGGAGAGGUUGGGAAGAAGACCAGAAACACGACGGCAUGGUGUUGGUGGAGAGACGAGGUCUCCCGGCAGGGCUUCGCCAAGCGCCGGCACAGAGGAGGAGGAAGAAGUGCAGGGUUGCGCCGAGGGAGAGGGAAAAUCGUGUCCUCCAAAGGCCAAAAGUGCCCACUAUAUAUAGGGGAAGGGGAGAGGGGGUGCCACCCCUAGGGUUCCCACCCUAGGGGGUGCGGCAGCCCUCCCAGAUGGGGGNNNNNNNNNNNNNNNNNNNNNNNNNNNNNNNNNNNNNNNNNNNNNNNNNNNNNNNNNNNNNNNNNNNNNNNNNNNNNNNNNNNNNNNNNNNNNNNNNNNNUUUGGCUAUGGCAAUGGCUCCAGUGUUAUCACAGAAGAGUGUCAUAGGACCCGACGCGCUUGGAACCACUCCAAGGUCGGUGAUGAGCUCCUUCAUCCAAAUUCCUUCAUGAGCCGCUUCUGAAGCAGCUAUGUACUCCGCUUCACAUGUAGAUGCUGCCACGACUUCUUGCUUGCUGCUGCAUCAGCUCACUGCCCCACCAUUCAACACAUAUACGUAUCCGGUUUGUGACUUAGAGUCAUCCGGAUCUGUGUCGAAGCUAGCAUUGACGUAACCCUUUACGAUGAGCUCUUCGUCACCUCCAUAAACGAGAAACAUUUCCUUAGUCCUUUUCAGGUACUUAAGGAUAUUCUUGACCGCUGUCCAGUGUUCCGCACCGGGAUUACUUUGGUACCUCCCUACCAAGCUUAUCGCAAGGUUUAUGUCAGGUCUGGUACAGAGCAUGGCAUACAUUAGAGAGCCCACGGCUGAAGCGUAGGGGACAGAACUCAUCUUCUCUCUAUCUGCUGCCGUGNNNNNNNNNNNNNNNNNNNNNNNNNNNNNNNNNNNNNNNNNNNNNNNNNNNNNNNNNNNNNNNNNNNNNNNNNNNNNNNNNNNNNNNNNNNNNNNNNNNNGUUUUGAAGAGGUUCAAAAUGGAACAGUCCAAGAAAGGGUUCUUGCCAGUGUUACAAGGUACGAGAUUGAGUAAGACUCAGUGCCCAACAACUGAUGAAGAUAGAGAGCAUAUGCGCUCCGUCCCCUAUGCUUCAGCCAUAGGCUCUAUCAUGUAUGCAAUGCUGUGCACUAGACCGGAUGUUAGCCUGGCCAUAAGUAUGGCAGGUUGGUUCCAGAGUAAUCCAGGAGUGGAUCACUGGACGGCGGUCAAGAAUAUCCUGAAGUACCUGAAAAGGACUAAGGAGAUGUUUCUCGUAUAUGGAGGUGACGAAGAGCUCGCCGUAAAAGGUUACGUCGAUGCAAGCUUUGACACAGAUCCAAACGACUCUAAGUCGCAAACCGGAUACGUAUUUAUUCUUAAUGGGGGUGCAGUAAGCUGGUGCAGUUCCAAGCAAAGCGUCGUAGCAGAUUCUACAUGUGAAGCAGAGUACAUGGCUGCCUCGGAGGCGGCUAAGGAGGGUGUCUGGAUGAAGCAGUUCAUGACGGAUCUUGGAGUAGUGCCAAGUGCACUGGAUCCAAUAACCUUGUUCUGUGACAACACUGGUGCCAUUGCCUUGGCAAAGGAACCAAGGUUUCACAAGAAGACCAGACACAUCAAACGACGCUUCAACCUCAUCCGCGACUACGUCGAGUAGGAGGACGUAAAUAUAUGCAAAGUGCACACGGAUCUGAAUGUAGCAGACCCGCUGACUAAACCUCUUCCACGGCCAAAACAUGAUCGACACCAGAACUGUAUGGGUGUUAGAUUUAUUACAAUGUAAUUCACAUGGUGAUGUGAGGGCUAGAUUAUUGACACUAGUGCAAGUGGGAGACUGUUGGAAUUAUGCCCUAGAGGCAAUAAUANNNNNNNNNNNNNNNNNNNNNNNNNNNNNNNNNNNNNNNNNNNNNNNNNNNNNNNNNNNNNNNNNNNNNNNNNNNNNNNNNNNNNNNNNNNNNNNNNNNNCGUUGAGUUAGUAUGGAUCAAGACUGGGAUUUGUCACUUCGUGUGACGGAGAGCUAUCUCGGGGCCCACUCGGUAAUACAACAUCACACACAAGCCUUGCAANNNNNNNNNNNNNNNNNNNNNNNNNNNNNNNNNNNNNNNNNNNNNNNNNNNNNNNNNNNNNNNNNNNNNNNNNNNNNNNNNNNNNNNNNNNNNNNNNNNNNNNNNNNNNNNNNNNNNNNNNNNNNNNNNNNNNNNNNNNNNNNNNNNNNNNNNNNNNNNNNNNNNNNNUUGACGAUCGAAUCACGGGCAAGUAACAUACCGAAGGACAAUGGAAAUGACAUAUGGGAUUAUAUGAAUCCUUGGCACUGAGGUUCAAAUGAUAAGAUCUUCGUAGAAUAUGUAGGAUCCAAUAUGGGCAUCCAGGUCCCGCUAUUGGAUAUUGACCGAGGAGUCUCUCGGGUCAUGUCUACAUAGUUCUCGAACACGCAGGGUCUACACACUUCAGGUUCGACGUUGUUUUAUGCGUAUUUGAGUUAUAUGGUUGGUUACCGAAUGUUGUUCCGAGUCCCGGAUGAGAUCACGGACGUCACGAGGGUUUCCGGUAUGGUCCGGAGACGAAGAUUGAUAUAUAGGAUGACCUCAUUUGAUUACCGGAAAGUUUUUGGCAUUACCGGGAAUGUACCGGGAGUGACGAAUGGGUUCCAGAUGUUCACCGGGGGGGNNNNNNNNNNNNNNNNNNNNNNNNNNNNNNNNNNNNNNNNNNNNNNNNNNNNNNNNNNNNNNNNNNNNNNNNNNNNNNNNNNNNNNNNNNNNNNNNNNNNUCUUCGUGCGCGUAGGAAAAUUUUUGUUUCCCAUGCUACGUUCCCCAACAUUAAUAUCGACUUGCACGUCGAUGGUACGGCAACCGGCAGGAGCCAUAGGGUUGUCUUUAAACUAAUGUUUGUGCUUGCAGAUGCGUUUACUAUAUUGCUAGGAUGUAGCUUUAGUAGUAAUAGCAUGAAUAGCAUGACAACCCCGAUGGCGACACGUUGAUGGAGAUCAUGGUGUGGCGCCGGUGACAAGAAGAUCGUGCCGGUGCUUUGGUGAUGGAGAUCAAGAAGCACGUGAUGAUGGCCAUAUCAUGUCACUUAUGAAUUGCAUGUGAUGUUAAUCCUUUUAUGCACCUUAUUUUGCUUAGAACGACGGUAGCAUUAUGAGGUGAUCUCUCACUGAAAUUUCAAGACGAAAUUGUGUUCUCCCCGACUAUGCACCGUUGCUACAGUUCGUCGUUUCGAGACACCACGUGAUGAUCGGGUGUGAUAGACUCAACGUUCACAUAGAACGGGUGCGAAACAGUUGCACACACGGAACACUCGGGUUAAGCCUAACGAGCCUAGCAUGUUCAGACAUCGCCUAGACAUGACCGAGACACUCUCCGGUCAAUAACCAAUAGAGCGAUCUAGAUGCCCAUAUUGGCUCCUACAUAAUCUACGAAGAUCUUUAUCGGUUGAACAUCUAUGUCAAGGAUUCAGUUAAUCCCGUAUGUUGUUCCCUUUGUCCAUCGGUAUGUUACUUGCCCGAGAUUCAAUCAUCGGUAUCUCUAUACCUAGUUCAAUCUCGUUACCAGCAAGUUUCUUUACUCGUUUCGUAAUACAAUAUCCCGUGACUAACUCCUUAGUCACAUCGCUUGCAAGGCUUAUUGUGAUGUUGUAUAAUUGUAUUACCGAGUGGCCCCGAGAUACCUCCCCGUCACACGGAGUGACAAAUCCGAGUCUUGAUCCAUGCCAACUCAAGAGACACCCUCGAAGAUACGUGUAGAGCCCCUUUAUAGUCACCUAGUUACAUUGCGAUGUUUGAUACACAUAAGGCACUCCUCCGGUGUCAGUGAGUUACAUGAUCUCAUGGUCAUAGAAACAUAUACUUGACAUGCAGAAAACAAUAGCAAUAAACUAACAUGAUCAUAUGCUACGUUCAUAGUUUGGGUCUUGUCCAUCACAUCAUUCUCCUAAUAAUGUGAUCCCGUUAUCAAGUUACAACCCUUGUCUAUGGUCAGGAAACCUUGAUCAUAUUUGAUCAACGAGCUAGUCCAAUAGAGGCUUACUAGGGACAGUGUGUUGUCUAUGUAUCCACGCAUGUAUCUGAGUUUCCAUUCAAUAUAAUUCUAGCAUGGAUAAUGAAUAUGUUAUCUUGAACAAGGAAAUAUAAUAAUAACUAUUUUAUUAUUGCCUCUAGGGAACAUUUCCAACAGUCUCCCACUUGCACUAGAGUCAAUAAUCUAGCUCACAUCACUAUGUGAUUUACAACGUAAAGAAUCUAACACCCAUACAGUUCUGGUGUUGAUCAUGUUUUGCUCGUGGAAGAGGCUUAGUCAACGGGCCUGCAACAUUGAGAUCUGUGUGCACUUUGCAAAUAUUGAUGUCCUCCUCUUUGAUGUAAUCGCGGAUGGAAUUGAAGCGUCGCUUUAUGUGUCUCGUGCUCUUGUGAAACCUUGGUUCGUUGGCUAGAGCAAUGGCACUAGUGUUGUCACAAAACAGAGUCAUUGGAUACAGUGCACUGGGCACAACUCCAAGAUUUGUCAUGAACUCCUUUAUCCAAACAUCUUCUUUAGCUGCCUCUCCGACAGCUAUGUACUCCGCUUCGCAUGUAGAAUCAGACACCAUGCUUUGCUUGGAACUGCACCAGCUUACCGCACCCCCAUUGAGAAUAAAUAUGUAUCCGGUUUGUGCCUUAGAGUCAUCCGGACCAGUGUCAAAGCUUGCAUCGACGUAACCCUUUACGACGAGCUCUUUGUCACCUCCAUAAACGAGAAACAUUUCCUUAGUCCUUUUCAGGUACUUUGGAAUAUUCUUGACCUCUGUCCAGUGUUCCAUUCCUAGAUUACUUUGAAACCUUCCCGCCAUACUUAUGGCAAGGCCGACAUCAGGUCUUGUGCACAUCAUUGCCUACAUGAUAGAGCCUAUGGAUGAAGCAUAGGGGACGACAUUCAUCUUUUCUCUAUCUUCUUCAGUUACUAGGCAUUGAGUCUUACUCAACUUCACACCUUGUAGCACACGCAAGAACCCUUUCUUGGACUGUUCCAUUUUGAACAUCUUCAAAACUUUGUCAAUGUAUGUGCUCUGUGAAAGUCCUAUUAAACGUCUUGAUCUAUCUCUAUAGAUCUUCAUGCCUAAUAAGUAAGCAGCUUCUCCUAGGUCCUUCAUUGAAUUUUUUUAUUCAAGUAAUCCUUUACACUUCCCAAAAGAUCUAUAUUGUUUCCAGUCAGCAAUAUGUCAUCCACAUAUAAUAUUAGAAAUGCUAUAGAGCUCCCACUCACUUUCCUGUAAAUACAAGCUUCUCCAUAAACUUGUAUAAACCCAAACACCUUAAUCACCUCAUCAAAGCGUUGAUUCCAACUCCGAGAUGCUUGCACCAGUCCAUAAAUGGAUCGCUGGAGUUUGCAUACUUUGUGAGCAUUCUCUGGAUCGACAAAACCUUCUGGUUGCAUCAUAUACAACUCUUCCUUAAGGAAACCGUUAAGGACUGUUGUUUUGAUACCCAUUUGCCAAAUUUCAUAAUUAAAAAAUGCAGCUAUUGCUAACAUGAUUCUGACAGACUUAAGCAUCGCUACGGGUCAGAAAGUCGCAUCAUAGUCAACUCCUUGAACUUGUGAAAACCUUUUGCCACAAGUCAAGCUUUAUAGACGGUGACAUUACCGUCCGUGUCCAUCUUCUUCUUAAAGAUCCAUUUGUUCUUAAUGGCCUUUCUCCCUUAAAGUAAUACUUCCAAAGUCCACACUUUGUUUUCACACAUAGAUCAUAUCUUAGGUUUCAUGGCCUCUAACCAUUUGUUGGAAUCCGGGCCCACAAUUGCUUUUCCAUAGCUCAUAGGUUCAUCGUUGUCCAACAAUAUGAUUGAUAAGACAGGGUUGUCGUACCACUAAGGAGCAGUACGUGCCCCUGUCGACCUACAAGGUUCGAUGGCAACUUGAUCUGAAGUUUCAUGAUCAUCAUCAUUAGCUUCCUCUUCAACUUAUGUAGGUUCCACAGAAACAUCUUUAUGUGAUGCGCUACUCUCUGGCUGAAGUAAAGGUUCUAUAACCUCAUCAAGUUCUAUCUUCUUCCCGCUCAAUUCUUUUGAGAGAAACUCGUUCUGAAGAAAAGCUCCGUUUUUAGCGACAAACACUUUGCAUUCGGAUCUGAGAUAGAAAGUAUACCCAAGUGUCUCUAUUGGGUAUCCUAUGAAGACGCACUAUUCCGCUUUGGGUUCCAGCUUUUCAAGCUUAAGCUUUUUGACAUAAGCAUCGCAUCCCCAAACUUUAAGAAACAACAACUUUGGCUUCUUGCCAAACCACACUUCAUAUGGCGUCGUAUCAACGGAUUUUGAUGGUGCCCUAUUUAAAGCGAACACAACUGUCUCAAAUGCAUAACCCCAAAACGAUAAUGGCAAACUGGUAAGAGACAUCAUAGAAUGCACCAUAUCUAAUAAAGUACGAUUCCGACGUUAGGACACACCAUUACACUAUGGUGUUCCAGGCGGUGUCAACUCUGAAACAAUUCUACAUUGUCUUAAGUCAGUGCCAAACUCAUAACUCAGAUAUUCUCCUCCUCGAUCUGAUCGUAGGAAUUUGAUCUUCUUGUUAUGAUGAUUCUCAACUUCACUCUGAAAUUGGUUGAACUUUUCAAAUGUUUCAGACUUGUGUUUCAUUAUUUAAACAUAACCAUAUCUACUCAAAUCAUCUGUGAAUGUGAGAAAAUAACGAUAACCACCACGCGCCUCUAUGCUCAUUUGUCCGCACACAUCAGUAUGUAAAAUCUCCAACAAGUCACUUGCAUGCUCCAUUGUUCCAGAGAACCGAGUCUUGGUCAUCUUGCCCAUGAGGCAUGGUUCACAUGUAUAAACUGAUUCAAUAUCAAGUGACUCCAAAAGUCCAUCAGCAUGGAGUUUCUUCAUGCGNNNNNNNNNNUGCCACGGGAGAGAAUGUCUCAUCGUAGUCAAUUCCUGGAACUUGUGAAAAACCCUUUGCCACAAGUCGAGCUUUAUAAACGGUCACAUUACCGUCAGCGUCCGUCUUCUUCUUAAAGAUCCAUUUGUUCUGAAUAAUCUUGCGGCCCUCAGGUAGUAUCUCCAAAGUCCACACUUUGUUCUCAUACAUGGAUCCUAUCUCGGAUUUCAUGGAUUCUAGCCAUUUGUUGGAAUCUGGGCCCACCAUUGCUUCUUCAUAAUUCGCAGGUUCAUUGUUGUCUAACAACAUGAUUGAUAAGACGGGAUUACCGUACCACUCUGGAGCAGCACGUGAUCUCGUCGACCUGCGUGGUUCAACAGAAACUUGAACUGGAGUUUCAUGAUCAUCAUCAUUAACUUCUUCCUCAACCGGCGUUGCAGUGACAGAGGUUUCCCCUUGCCCUGCGCCACCAUCCAGAGGGAUGAGAGGUUCGACAACCUCGUCAAGUUCUAUCUUCCUCCCACUCAAUUCUCUCGAGAGAAACUCCUUCUCGAGAAAAGUUCCGUUCUUAGCAACAAACACUUUGCCCUCGGAUUUGAGAUAGAAGGUGUACCCAACUGUCUCUUUUGGGUAACCUAUGAAGACGCACUUUUCUGCUUUGGGUUCCAGCUUUUCAGGCUGAAGCUUUUUGACAUAAGCAUCACAUCCCCAAACUUUAAGAAACGACAACUUUGGCCUUUUGCCAUACCAUAGUUCGUAUGGUGUCGUCUCAACGGAUUUCCAUGGUGCCCUAUUUAAAGUGAAUGCAGCUGUUUCUAAUGCAUAACCCCAAAAUGAUAACGGCAAAUCAGUAAGAGACAUCAUAGAUCGCACCAUCUCUAACAAAGUACGAUUACGACAUUCGGACACACCAUUACGCUGUGGUGUUCCAGGCGGUGUUAACUGCGAAACAAUUCCACAUUGUCUUNNNNNNNNNNUGCACCAUUUCUAACAAAGUACGAUUACGACGUUCGGACACACCAUUUCGUUGUGGUGUUCCAGGCGGUGUUAACUGCGAAACAAUUCCACAUUGUCUUAAGUGAGUAGCAAACUCGAAACUCAGAUACUCACCCCCACGAUCAGACCGUAGGAACUUGAUCUUCUUGUUACGAUGAUUUUCCACUUCACUCUGAAAUUGCUUGAACUUUUCAAAUGUUUCAGACUUGUGCUUCAUCAAAUAGACAUAACCAUAUCUACUUAAAUCGUCAGUGAAGGUGAGAAAAUAACGAUAUCUGCCGCGUGCCUCCAUGCUCAUUGGACCACACACAUCGGUAUGUAUGAUUUCCAACAAGUCACUNNNNNNNNNNGUAGACAUAACCAUAUCUACUUAAAUCGUCAGUGAAGGUGAGGAAAUAACGAUAUCCGCCACGUGCCUCUACGCUCAUUGGACCACACACAUCGGUAUGUAUGAUUUCCAACAAGUCACUUGCACGCUCCAUUGUUCCGGAGAACGGAGUUUUAGUCAUCUUGCCCAUGAGGCAUGGUUCGCACGUUUCAAGUGAAUCGAAGUCAAGUGACUCCAAAAGUCCAUCAGCAUGGAGUUUCUUCAUGCGCNNNNNNNNNNACACCAAUAUGACCCAAGCGGCAGUGCCACAAAAAUAUGGACCUAUCAUUGUUUACUCUAACUCUUUUGGUCUCAAUGUUAUGUAUAUGUGUAUCGCUAUCGAGAUUCAAUAUGAACAAUCCUCUCACAUUCGGUGCAUGACCAUAAAAGNNNNNNNNNNCGUAUCGCUAUCAAGAUUCAAUAUGAACAAUCCUCUCACAUUCGGUGCAUGACCAUAAAAGAUGUUACUCAUAGAAAUAGAACAACCAUUAUUCUCAGACUUAAAAGAGUAACCGUCUCGCAAUAAACAAGAUCCAGAUAUAAUGUUCAUGCUCAACGCAGGCACUAAGUAACAAUGAUUUAAGUUCAUCACUAAUCCCGAUGGUAGUUGAUGUGACACUGUGCCGACGGCGAUUGCAUCAACCUUGGAACCAUUUCCUACGCGCAUCGUCACUUCGUCUUUCGCCAGCCUUCGCCUAUUCCGCAGUUCCUGUUUCGAGUUGCAAAUAUGAGCAACAGAACCAGUAUCAAAUACCCAGGCACUACUACGAGAGCUAGUUAAGUACACAUCAAUAACAUGUAUAUCAAAUAUACCUGAUUUUUCUUUGCCCGCCUUCUUAUCUGCCAGAUACUUGGGGCAAUUGCGCUUCCAGUGACCCAUACCCUUGCAAUAGAAGCACUAUGUUUCAGGCUUAGGUCCAACCUUGGGUUUCUUCGGCGGAUUGGCAACAGGCUUGCCGCUCUUCUUCGAAUUGCCCUUCUUGCCUUUGCCGUUUCUAUUGAAACUAGUGGUCUUGCUCACCAUCAACACUUGAUGCUCUUUACGGAGUUCAGACUCUGCGACUUUCAGCAUCGCAAACAACUCGCCGGGAGACUUGUUCAUCCCUGGCAUGUUGUAGUUCAACACAAAGCCUUUAUAGCUUCGCGGCAGUGAUUGAAGGAUUCUGUCAGUGAUAGCUUCUUGCGGGAGUUCAAUCCCUAGUUCAGCUAGAUGGUUUGAGUACCCAGACAUUUUGAGCACAUGUUCACUGACAGACGAGUUUUCCUCCAUCUUGCAAGCAUAGAAUUUAUCGGAGGUCUCAUACCUCUCGAUCCGGGCGUUCUUCUGAAAGAUAAACUUCAACUCCUGGAACAUCUCAAAUGCUCCAUGAAUCUCAAAGCGACGUUGAAGUCCCGGUUCUAAGCCAUACAAGACUGCACAUUGAACUAUUGAGUAGUCCUCCUUACGCGCUAACCAAGCGUUCUUAACAUCCUGAUCAGCCGUAGCGGGUGGUUCAUCUCCUAGCGCAGCAUUAAGGACAUAAUCCUUCUUCCCAGCUUGUAAGAUUAGCUUAAGAUUACGAGCCCAGUCUACAAAGUUGCUUCCAUCAUCUUUCAACUUAGCUUUCUCUAGGAACGUAUUAAAAUUCGGGAUGACACUUGCGNNNNNNNNNNNNNNNNNNNNNNNNNNNNNNNNNNNNNNNNNNNNNNNNNNNNNNNNNNNNNNNNNNNNNNNNNNNNNNNNNNNNNNNNNNNNNNNNNNNNCCUCCGUAUAUAUAGGUGGGAGGGAGGAGCCUUGCCUUGGGGCUCAAGAGGCCCCAAGGUGGAGUCCUUCCCUUCCUUCCCACUUCCCCCUUUUUUCUCUUUGAUUUUCUUAUCUCCUACGCAGGGGCCUCUCUGGGCUUGCCCACCAGCCCACUAAGGGCUGGUGCUGCCCCCCUAAGGCCUAUGGGCUUCCCCGGGGUGGGCUGUCCCCCCCCCCCNNNNNNNNNNNNNNNNNNNNNNNNNNNNNNNNNNNNNNNNNNNNNNNNNNNNNNNNNNNNNNNNNNNNNNNNNNNNNNNNNNNNNNNNNNNNNNNNNNNNNNNNNNNNNNNNNNNNNNNNNNNNNNNNNNNNNNNNNNNNNNNNNNNNGAGGUCAUCCUAUAUAUCAAUCUACGUUUUCGGACCAUUUCGAAAACCCUCGUGACGUUCGUGAUCUCAUCCGGGACUCCGAACAACAUUCGGUAACCAACCAUAUANNNNNNNNNNNNNNNNNNNNNNNNNNNNNNNNNNNNNNNNNNNNNNNNNNNNNGGACUCCUCGGUCAAUAUCCAAUAGCGGGACCUGGAUGCCCAUAUCGGAUCCUACAUAUUCUACGAAGAUCUUAUCGUUUGAACCUAAGUGCCAAGGAUUCAUAUAAUCCCGUAUGUCAUUCCCUUUGUCCUUCGGUAUGUUACUUGCCCGAGAUUCGAUCGUCAGUAUCCGCAUACCUAUUUCAAUCUCGUUUACCGGCAAGUCUCUUUACUCGUUCCGUAAUACAAGAUCCCGCAACUUACACUAAGUUACAUUGCUUGCAAGGCUUAUGUGUGAUGAUGUAUUACCGAGUGGGCCCCGAGAUACCUCUCCGUCACACGGAGUGACAAAUCCCAGUCUUGAUCCAUACUAACUCAACUAACACCUUCGGAGAUACCUGUAGAGCAUCUUUAUAGUCACCCAGUUACNNNNNNNNNNNNNNNNNNNNNNNNNNNNNNNNNNNNNNNNNNNNNNNUGACUAUCAUCGAUCAACUGGCUAGCCAACUAGAGGCAUGCUAGGGACGGUGUUUUGUCUAUGUAUCCACACAUGUAAAUGAGUCUUCAUUCAAUACAAUUAUAGCAUGGAUAAUAAACUAUUAUCUUGAUACAGGAAUUAUAAUAAUAACUACACAUUUAUUAUUGCCUCUAGGGCAUAAUUCCAACAAUUAACUAUUAUAACAUGAUCAUCUCAUACAUCCAAUAUAUCACAUCACAUCGUUGGCCAUAUCACAUCACAAGCAUACCCUACAAAAACAAUUUAGACGUCCUCUAAUUGUUGUUGCAUGUUUUACGUGGUGACCAUGGGUAUCUAGUAGGAUCGCAUCAUACUUACGCAAACACCACAACGGAGAUGUAUGAAUUGCUAUUUAACCUCAUCCAAGGACCUCCUCGGUCAAAUCCGAUUCAACUAAAGNNNNNNNNNNUUAAACUAAAACAUGCAAGGGAUGAAUAAGUCGAUCGCCAAGCUAUUUGCAAUGCUGAGACUCGCUGAGUCAAAAAUCCAGAAAGAACAUCCAAGUGUUGAUGGUCAAUAAAAGCACUAGUUUCAAGAAAAAGGGCAAGGGCAAGAAGGGCAACUCCAAGAAGUGUGGCAAAGCAGUAACCCCUCCCACGAAGAAACCCAAGGCUGGACCCAAGCCGGAAACAGAGUGCUUUCAUUGCAAGGGGACUGGUCACUGGAAGCGGAACUGUCCCAAGUAUCUGGCCGAUAAGAAGGCGGCCAACGCCAAACAAUGUAUAUUUGAUAUACAUGUUAUUGAUGUGUACCUCACCAGCUCUCGUUGUAGUGCCUGGGUGUUAGAUAAAGGUUUAGUUGCUCACAUUUGCAACUCAAAGCAGGAACUAUGGAAUACACGAAGGUUGGCGAAGGAAGAAGUGACGAUACAUGUGGGAAAUGGUUCCAAGGUUGAUGUGAUCGCCGUCGGCACGCUCUCACUUCAAUUACCAUCGUGAUUAGUGAUGAACCUAAAUAAUUGUUAUUUAGUGUCUGCGUUAAGCAUGGACAUUAUAUCUGGAUCUUCUUUAUUGCGAGACGGUUACUCAUUUAAGUCAGAGAAUAAUGGUUGUUCUAUUUAUAUGAGUAAUAUCUUUUAUGGUCAUGCACCCAAUGUGAGGGGUUUGUUCAUAUUGAAUCUCGAUAGUGAUGAUACACAUAUACAUAACAUUGAUGCCAAAAGAUGUAGAGUUGAUAAUGAUAGCACCACUUUCUUGUGGCACUGCCACUUAGGUCAUAUUGGUAUAAAACGCAUGAAGAAACUCCAUGCUGAUGGACUUUUGGAGUCACUUGAUAUUNNNNNNNNNNNNNNNNNNNNNNNNNNNNNNNNNNNNNNNNNNNNNNNNNNNNNNNNNNNNNNNNNNNNNNNNNNNNNNNNNNNNNNNNNNNNNNNNNNNNNNNNNNNNNNNNNNNNNNNNNNNNNNNNNNNNNNNNNNNNNNNNNNNNNNNNNNNNNNNNNNNNNNNNNNNNNNNNNNNNNNNNNNNNNNNNNNNNNNNNNCUUUAGGAUAUUCUUGACCGCUGUCCAGUGAUCCACUCCUGGAUUACUUUGGAACCUACCUGCCAUACUUAUGGCCAGGUUUACAUCCGGUCUAGUGCACAGCAUCGCAUACAUGAUAGAACCUAUGGCUGAAGCAUAGGGGACGGUGCGCAUAUGCUCUCUAUCUUCAUCAGUUGCUGGGCACUGAGUCUUACUCAAUCUCGUACCUUGUAAAAAUGGCAAGAACCCUUUCUUGGACUGUUCCAUUUUGAACCUCUUCAAAACUUUAUCAAGGUAUGUGCUUUGUGAAAGUCCUAUCAGGCGUUUUGAUCUAUCCCUAUAGAUCUUAAUGCCUAGAAUGUAAGCAGCUUCUCCUAGGUCCUUCAUAGAGAAACUUUUAUUCAAGUAACCUUUUAUGCUCUCCAAAAGCUCUACGUUGUUUCCAAUCAGUAAUAUGUCAUCCACAUACAAUAUUAGAAACGCCACAGAGCUCCCACUCACUUUCUUGUAAAUACAAGAUUCUCCAACCACUUGUAUAAACCCAAAUGCUUUGAUCACCUCAUCAAAGCAUUUGUUCCAACUCCGAGAUGCUUGCACCAGUCCAUAAAUGAAUCGCUGGAGUUUGCACACUUUGUCAGCAUUUUUAGGAUCGACAAAACCUUCGGGUUGCNNNNNNNNNNGUUUUGACGUCCAUCUUCCAGAUUUCAUAAUCGAAAAAUGCAGCUAUUGCUAACAUGAUUCUGACGGACUUAAGCAUCGCUACGGGUGAGAAGGUCUCAUCGUAGUCAACUCCUGGAACUUGUGACAAACCCUUUGCCACAAGUCGAGCUUUAUAAACGGUCACAUUACCGUCANNNNNNNNNNNNNNNNNNNNNNNNNNNNNNNNNNNNNNNNNNNNNNNNNNNNNNNNNNNNNNNNNNNNNNNNNNNNNNNNNNNNNNNNNNNNNNNNNNNNUCGACAAAACCUUCUGGUUGCAUCAUAUACAACUCUUCCUUAAGGUUCCCGUUAAGGAACGCUGUUUUGACGUCCAUUUGCCAAAUUUCAUAAUCAUAAAAGGCGGCAAUUGCUAACAUGAUUCGGACUGCUUUCAGCUUCGCUACGGGAGAGAAAGUCUCAUCGUAGUCAACUCCUUGAAUUUGUCGAAAACCCUUUGCGACAAGUCGAGCUUUGUAAACGGUUACAUUACCGUUUGCAUCAGUCUUCUUCUUGAAGAUCCAUUUAUUUUCUAUGGCUCGCCGGUCAUCGGGCAAGUCCACCAAAGUCCAUACUUUGUUCUCAUACAUGGAUCCUAUCUCGGAUUUCAUGGCCUCAAGCCAUUUGUUGGAAUCCGGGCCCGCCAUCGCUUCUUCAUAGUUCGAAGGUUCACCGUUGUCUAACAACAUGAUUUCCAUCACAGGGUUGCCGUACCACUCUGGUGCGGAGCGUACCCUCGUGGAUCUUCGCGGUUCAGUAGUAACUUGAUCCGAAGCUUCAUGAUCAUCAUCAUUAACUUCCUCUUCAGUCGGUGUAGGCACCACAGGAACAACUUCUUGCGUUGCGCUACUUUCCUGUUCGAGAGGGGGUGUAAUUACCUCAUCAAGUUCUACCUUCCUCCCACUUACUUCUUUCGAGAGAAACUCUUUCUCUAGAAAGGAUCCGUUCUUGGCAACAAAGGUUUUACCUUCGGAUCUAAGAUAGAAGGUAUACCCAAUAGUUUCCUUAGGGUAUCCUAUGAAUACGCAUUUCUCCGCUUUGGGUUCGAACUUUUCUGGUUGAAGUUUCUUCACAUAAGCAUCGCAGCCCCAAACUUUAAGAAACGACAACUUAGGUUUCUUGCCAAACCACAGUUCAUACGGUGUCGUCUCAACGGAUUUAGACGGUGCCCUAUUUAAAGUGAAUGUUGUAGUUUCUAAUGCGUAUCCCCAAAAUGAUAGCGGUAAGUCGGUGAGAGACAUCAUAGAUCGUACCAUAUCUAAUAAAGUGCGAUUACGACGUUCAGACACUCCGUUGCGCUGCGGUGUACCAGGCGGCGUUAGUUGUGAAACGAUUCCACAUUUCCUUAGGUGUGUGCCAAACUCGUGACUCAAAUAUUCUCCUCCACGAUCAGAUCGUAGACAUUUAAUUUUUCUGUCACGUUGAUUCUCAACCUCACUCUGAAAUUCCUUGAACUUUUCAAACGUCUCAGAUUUGUGCUUCAUCAAGUAGAUAUACCCAUACCUACUCAAAUCAUCGGUGAGAGUGAGAACAUAACGAUAACCACCGCGAGCUUCAACGUUCAUUGGACCACACACAUCAGUAUGUAUUAUUUCCAAUAAGUCAGUUGCUCUCUCCAUUAUUCCUGAGAAUGGAGUCUUAGUCAUCUUGCCCAUGAGGCACGGUUCGCAUGUGUCAAAUGAUUCAAAGUCAAGAGACUCUAGCAGUCCAUCAGUAUGGAGCUUCUUCAUGCGCUUAACGCCGAUAUGACCAAGGCGGCAGUGCCACAAGUAUGUGGGACUAUCAUUAUCAACUUUGCAUCUUUUGGUACUCACACUAUGAAUAUGUGUAACAUCACGAUCNNNNNNNNNNNNNNNNNNNNNNNNNNNNNNNNNNNNNNNNNNNNNNNNNNNNNNNNNNNNNNNNNNNNNNNNNNNNNNNNNNNNNNNNNNNNNNNNNNNNGUGUUUCGGGCAUCACCGGUAACGUACCGGGACCACCGGGACCACCGGAGGUGGUCCCGGGGGACCACCGAAAGGGGGUGACGACCCCGGGAGGCUAGAUGGGCUAAGUGGGGAAGGGAACCAGCCCCUAAGUGGGCUGGUGCGCCCCCACCCAGCCCAUGUGCACCAGAAACAGGGGAAGGGGGGGUAACCCUAACUAAGGUGGGCCUUAGGCCCACCAGAGGGGUGCGCCACCCCUCCUCCUUGCCCUGGCCCCCACUCCCCCCAUCUGGGAGGGCUGCCGCACCCCCUAGGGUGGAAACCCUAGGGGUGGCACCCCCUCUCCCCUUCCCCUAUAUAUAGUGGACACUUUUGGCCUUUGGAGGACACGGUUUUCCCUCUCCCUCGGCGCAGCCCUGCACUUCUUCCUCCUCCUCUCUGCCGGCGCUUGGUGAAGCCCUGCCGAGAGACCUCGUCUCUCCACCAACACCACGCCGUCGUGUUGCUGGUCUUCUUCCCCAACCUCUCUCUCCUCCUUGCUGGAUCAAGGUGCGGGAGACGUCAUCGGGCUGCACGUGUGUUGAACGCGGAGGUGCCGUUGUUCGGCACUAGAUCGGAAUCGCCGCGAGUACGACUCCAUCAACCGCGUUCUAGCAACGCUUCCGCUUAGCAAUCUUCAAAGGUAUGAAGAUGCUCUUUCCCCUNNNNNNNNNNNNNNNNNNNNNNNNNNNNNNNNNNNNNNNNNNNNNNNNNNNNNNNNNNNNNNNNNNNNNNNNNNNNNNNNNNNNNNNNNNNNNNNNNNNNCGGAAUGGUCCGGAAACGAAGAUUGAUAUAUAGGAUGACCUCAUUUGGUUACCGGAAGGUUUUCGUGCAUUACCGGAAAAGUUUCGGGCUCAUCGGUAGUGUACCGGGAGUGCCGGGAGGGGUGCCGGGGACCAUCGGGAGGGGUGUCACGCCCCAAGGGGUCUCAUGGGCUAUGGGAAGAGAUAAACCAGCCCCUAGUGGGCUGGAAUAAGUUCCCACUAAGGCCCAUAAGGUUUGAGAAGGAAAAAACACAAGGUGGAAAGAGUUUCCAAGUGGGAAGGUGGAAUCCUACUCCAAGUAGGAUUGAAGUAGGACUCCUCCACCUCCAAUUUCGGCCAAACCUUGAGGGUUUGAGGCUGCCUCUUCCCUCCCCCUCCCACCUAUAUAUACGGAGGUUUUAGGGCUGAUUUGAGACGACUUUUCUCACGGCUGCCCGACCACAUACCUCCACGGUUUUUCCUCUAGAUCGCGUUUCUGCGGAGCUCGGACGGAGCCCUGCUGAGACAAGGUCAUCACCAACCUCCGGAGCGCCGUCACGCUGCCGGAGAACUCUUCUACCUCUCCGUCUCUCUUGCUGGAUCAAGAAGGCCAAGAUCAUCGUCGAGCUGUACGUGUGCUGAACGCGGAGGUGCCGUCCGUUCGGUACUAGAUCGUGGGACUGAUCGCGGGAUUGUUCACGGGGCGGAUCGAGGGACGUGAGGACGUUCCACUACAUCAACCGCAUUCACUAACGCUUCUGCUGUACGAUCUACAAGGGUAAGUAGAUCACUCAUACCCUCUCGUAGAUGGACAUCACCAUGAUAGAUCUUCGUGCGCGUAGGAAAAUUUUUGUUUCCCAUGCGACGUUCCCCAGCAGUGGCAUCAUGAGCUAGGUUCAUGCGUAGAUGUCUUCUCGAGUAGAACACAAAAGUUUUUGUGGGCGGUGAUGUGCGUUUUGAUGCCCUCCUUAGUCUUUUCUUGAUUCCGCGGUAUUGUUGGAUUGAAGCGGCUUGGACCGACAUUACUCGUACGCUUACGAGAGACUGGUUUCAUCGCUACGAGUAACCCCGUUGCUCAAAGAUGACUGGCAAGUGUCGGUUUCUCCAACUUUAGUUGAAUCCGAUUUGACCGAGGAGGUCCUUGGAUAAGGUUAAAUAGCAACGCAUAUAUCUCCGUUGUGGUGUUUGCGUAAGUAAGAUGCGAUCCUACUAGAUACCAAUGGUCACCACGUAAAACAUGCAACAACAAAAUUAGAGGACGUCUAACUUGUUUUUGCAGGGUAUGCUUGUGAUGUGAUAUGGCCAACGAUGUGAUGUGAUAUAUUGGAUGUAUGAGAUGAUCAUGUUGUAAUAGAAAUAUCGACUUGCACGUCGAUGGUACGGCAACCGGCAGGAGCCAUAGGGUUGUCUUUAUACUAAUGUUUGUGCUUGCAGAUGCGUUUACUAACGUUUGUGCUUGCAGAUGCGUUUACUAUUUUGCUAGGACGUAGCUUUAGUAGUAAUAGCAUGAGUAGCACGACAACCCUGAUGGCGACACGUUGAUGGAGAUCAUGAUGAUGGAGAUCAUGGUGUGACGCCGGUGACAAGAAGAUCGUGCCGGUGCUUUGGUGAUGGAGAUCAAGAAGCACGUGAUGAUGGCCAUAUCAUGUCACUUAUGAAUUGCAUGUGAUGUUAAUCCUUUUAUGCACCUUAUUUUGCUUAGAACGACGGUAGCAUUAUGAGGUGAUCUCUCACUAAAAUUUCAAGACGAAAUUGUGUUCUCCCCGACUGUGCACCGUUGCUACAGUUCGUCGUUUCGAGACACCACGUGAUGAUCGGGUGUGAUAGACUCAACGUUCACAUACAACGGGUGCAAAACAGUUGCGCACGCGGAACACUCGGGUUAAGCUUGACGAGCCUAGCAUGUGCAGACAUGGCCUCGGAACACAUGAGACCGAAAGGUCGAGCAUGAAUCGUAUAGUUGAUAUGAUUAGCAUAGAGAUGCUUACCACUGAAACUAUUCUCGACUCACGUGAUGAUCGGACUUGAGAUAGUGGAUUUGAAUCAUGUACCACUCAAAUGACUAGAGAGAUGUACUUUUUGAGUGGGAGUUUAGCAUAUAAUUUGAUUAAGUUGAACUCUAAUUAUCUUGAACAUAGUCUAAGUCCACUUUGAAUAUAUUUGUGUUGUAGAUCAUGGCUCACGCAAGUGUCAUCCUGAAUUUUAAUACGUUCCUAGAGAAAGCUAAGUUGAAAGAUGAUGGAAGCAACUUUGUAGACUGGGCUCGUAAUCUUAAGCUAAUCUUACAAGCUGGGAAGAAGGAUUAUGUCCUUAAUGCUGCGCUAGGAGAUGAACCACCCGCUACGGCUGAUCAGGAUGUUAAGAACGCUUGGUUAGCGNNNNNNNNNNNNNNNNNNNNNNNNNNNNNNNNNNNNNNNNNNNNNNNNNNNNNNNNNNNNNNNNNNNNNNNNNNNNNNNNNNNNNNNNNNNNNNNNNNNNAAUAAUAACUACACAUUUAUUAUUGCCUCUAGGGCAUAAUUCCAACAAUUAACUAUUAUAACAUGAUCAUCUCAUACAUCCAAUAUAUCACAUCACAUCGUUGGCCAUAUCACAUCACAAGCAUACCCUACAAAAACAAUUUAGACGUCCUCUAAUUGUUGUUGCAUGUUUUACGUGGUGACCAUGGGUAUCUAGUAGGAUCGCAUCUUACUUACGCAAACACCACAACGGAGAUGUAUGAAUUGCUAUUUAACCUCAUCCAAGGACCUCCUGGGUCAAAUCCGAUUCAACUAAAGUUGGAGAAACCGACACUCGCCAGUCAUCUUUGAGCAACGCGGUUGCUCGUAGCGAUGAAACCAGUCUCUCGUAAGCGUACGAGUAAUGUCGGUCCGAGCCGCUUCGAUUUAACAAUACCUCGGAAUCAAGAAAAUACUAAGGAGGGCAGCAAAUCGCACAUCACCGCCCACAAAAACUUUUAUGUUCUACUCGAGAUGACAUCUACGCAUGAACCUAGGUCAUGAUGCCACUAUUGGGGAACGUCGCAUGGGAAACAAAAAAUUUCCUACGCGUAGGAAGACCUAUCAUGGUGAUGUCCAUCUACGAGGGGGAUUUCAGAUCUACGUACCCUUGUAGAUCGCAUAGCUGGAAGCGUUAAUAAACGUGGUUGAUGUAGUGGAACGUCCUCACGUCCCUCGAUCCGCCCCGUGAACCGUCCCACGAACCGUCCCAUGAUCCGCUCCGAUCUAGUGUCGAACGGACGACACCUCCGCGUUCAGCACACGUACAGCUCGACGAUGAUCUCGGCCUUCUUGAUCCAGCAAGAGAGACAGAGAGGUAGAUGAUUUCUCCGGCAGCGUGACGGCGCUUCGGAGGUUGGUGGUGAUCUUAUCUCAGCAGGGCUCCGACCGAGCUCCGCAGAAACGCGAUCUAGAGGAAAAACCGUGGAGGUAUGUGGUCGGGCUGCCGUGGCAAAGCUGUCCCAAAUCAGCCCUAAUACCUCCGUAUAUAUUGGUGGGAGGGGAGGGGCCUUGCCUUGAGGCUCAAGGAGCCCCAAGGGGGCCGGCCGAAGGGGGGAGGAGGAUUCCUCCUCCAAUCCUAGUCCAACUAGGAUUGGAAGGUGGAGUCCUUCCCUUCCUUCCCACUUCCCCUUUUUUUUCUUUUCUCUUUGAUUUUUUCUUAUCCUGCCCAGGGGCCUUCUUGGGCUUGCCCACCAACCCACUAAGGGCUGGUGCGGCACCCCUAAGGCCUAUGGGCUUCCCCGGGAUGGGCUGCCCCCCCCCCCCCCGGUGAACAUCUGGAACCCAUUCGUCACUCCCGGUACAUUCCCGGUAAUGCCAAAAACUUUCCGGUAAUCAAAUGAGGUCAUCCUAUAUAUCAAUCUUCGUCUCCGGACCAUACCGGAAACCCUCGUGACGUCCGUGAUCUCAUCCGGGACUCGGAACAACAUUCGGUAACCAACCAUAUAACUCAAAUACGCAUAAAACAACGUCAGACCUUAAGUGUGCAGACCCUGCGGGUUCGAGAACUAUGUAGACAUGACCCGAGGGACUCCUCGGUCAAUAUCCAAUAGCGGGACCUGGAUGCCCAUAUUGGAUCCUACAUAUUCUACGAAGAUCUUAUCAUUUGAACCUCAGUGCCAAGGAUUCAUAUAAUCCCAUAUGUCAUUUCCAUUGUCCUUCGGUAUGUUACUUGCCCGUGAUUCGAUCGUCAAUAUCCGCAUACCUAUUUCAAUCUCGUUUACCGGCAAGUCUCUUUACUCGUUCCGUAAUACAAGAUCCCGUGACUUACACUAAGUCACAUUGCUUGCAAGGCUUGUGUGUGAUGUUGUAUUACCGAGUGGGCCCCGAGAUAGCUCUCCGUCACACGAAGUGACAAAUCCCAGUCUUGAUCCAUACUAACUCAACGAACACCUUCGGAGAUACCUGUAGAGCAUCUUUAUAGUCACCCAGUUACGUUGCGACGUUUGAUACACACAAAGCAUUCCUCCGGUGUCAGUGAGUUUUAUGAUCUCAUGGUCAUAGGAAUAAAUACUUGACACGCAGAAAAUAGUAGCAACAAAAUGACAUGAUCAACAUGCUACGUCUAUUAGUUUGGGUCUAGUCCAUCACAUGAUUCACCUAAUGAUGUGAUCCAGUUAUCAAGCAACAACACCUUGUACAUAGUCAGAAGACCCUGACUAUCCUCGAUCCACUGGCUAGCCAACUAGAGGCUUGCUAGGGACAGUGUUUUGUCUAUGUAUCCACACAUGUAUCUAAGUCUUCUUUCAAUACAAUUAUAGCAUGGAUAAUAAACGAUUAUCUUGAUACAGGAAUUAUAAUAAUAACCUAUUUAUCAUUGCCUCUAGGGCAUAAUUCCAACAACAUAUUGCUCCAAAGUAGUACACUAAUCCUAUCUUGGAGGUCAUGUUGCUGGACAAGAAUGAACCUACGAGCUAUGGAGAAGCGAUGGUGGACCCGGGUUCCGACUAUUGGCUGGAGGCCAUAAAAUCCGAGAUAGGAUCCAUGUAUGAAAACAAAGUGUGGACUUUGGAAGAACUACUUGAUGGUCGUAAGACUAUUAAGUACAGAUGGAUCUUUAUAAGGAAGACAGACGAUAAUGGUGACAGUCACAAUUUAGAAAGCUCGACUUGUUGCAAAGAAGUUUCUGACAAGUUCAAGGAGUUGACUUCAAUGAGACUUUCUCACUCGUAGCGUUGCUAAAAGUCUGUUGGAAUUAUGUUAGCAGUUGCUGCAUUUUUCAAUUAUGAAAUCUUGCACAUGGAUGUCAAAACAUUGUUUCCCCGACGGUUUCUUUGAGGAAAGGUUGUAUGUGAUACAACGAGAAGGUUUUGUCGAUCCUAAGGAUGCUAACAAGUAUGCAAGCUCCAGUGAUCCUUCUAAGGACUGGAGUAAGCAUCUUGGAGUUAGAAUAUGUGCUUUGAUGUGAUGAUCAAAGCUUUUUGGUUUAUACAAAGUUUAUGAGAAACUUGUAUUUCCAAACGAGUGGGAGCACUAUAUGAUUUCUGAUUAGUAUAUGUGGUUGACAUACUGUUGAUUGGAAAUUAUGUAGAAUUUCUAUAAAGCAUAUAGGGUUGUUUGAAAAGUGUUUUUCAAAGGAAAACCUGGAUUGAGCUACUUGAACAUUGAGCAUCAAGAUCUAUAGAGAUAUAUCAAAACGCUUAAUAGAACUUUCAAAUGAAUACAUGUCGUGACAAGAUUUUGAAGGAGUUCAAAAUAGAUGAGUCAAAGAAAGAGUUCUUGGAUGUGUUAUAAGGUGUGAGUAUUGAGUAAGACUCAAAGCCCGACCAUGACAGAAGAAAUAGAAAGGACGAAGGUCGUCCCCUAUGCAUUAGCCAUGGGCUCUAUAGUAUGCUAUGUUGUUUACCGCACCUGAUGUGUGCCUUGCCAUGAAUCUGUCAAGUGGUACAAAAGUGAUCGAGGAAUGGAUUAUUGGACAACGAUCAAAAGUUAUCCUUAGUAACUAGUGUACUAAGGAAUUUUUCUUGAUUAUGGUGGUGAUAAAAGAGUUCGUCGUAAAGGUUUACGUCGAUGCAGGCUUUGACACAAAUCCAGAUUACUCUCAGUAGUAAACCAGAUUCAUAUAGUGGAGUAGUCAUUUGGAAUAGUUCCAAUGGUGUGUGUUAGCAGCAUCUAGAGGAUGACAUAGAUAUUUUUAAAGCACACACGGAGCUGAAAGGUUCAGACCCGUUGACUAAAAAUAUCUCUCACAAGCAAGACAUGAUCAAACCCAAGAACUGUAUGGGUGUUAGUUUCAUUGCAAUCACAUCGUGAUGUGAACUAAAUUAUUGACUCUAGUGCAAGUGGGAGACUGUUGGAAAUAUGUCCUAGAGGCAAUAAUAAAUUGGUUACUACUAUAUUACCUUUUUCAUGAUAAUCGUUUAUUAUCCAUGCUAGAAUUGUAUUGAAUGGAAACUCAUAUACAUGUGUGGAUAUAUAGACAACACACGAUCCCUAGUGAGCCUCUAGUUGAAUAGCUCUUUGAUCAAAGAUGGGCAAGGUUUCCUGGCCAUAGACAAGUGUUGUCACUUGAUAACGGGAUCACAUCAUUAGGAAAAUGAUGUGAUGGACAAGACCCAAACUAUGAACGUAGCAUAUGAUCGUGCCAGUUUAUUGCUACUGUUUUCUGCAUGUCAAUGUAUCUGUUCCUAUAACCAUGAGAUCAUGCAACUCCCGGACACGAGAGGAAUACCUUGUAUGUAUCAAACGUUGCAACAUAACUGGGUGACUUUAAAGGUGCUCUACAGGUAUCUCCGAAGGUGUCUGUUGGGUUGGCGUGAAUCGAGACUCGGAUUUGUCACUCCGUAUGACGAAGAGGUAUCUCGGGGCCCACUCGGUAAUACAACAUCACAAUAAGCCUUGCAAGCAAUGUGACUAAGGAGUUAGUCACGAGAUCUUGUAUUACGUAAUGAUUAAAGAGACUUGUCGGUAAUGAGAUUGAACUAGGUAUGGAGAUACCGAUAAUCGAAUCUCGGGCAAGUAACAUAUCGAUGGACAAAGGGAACAGCAUACGAGAUUAACUGAAUCAUUGACAUAGAGGUUCAACUGAUGAAGAUAUUCGUAGAAUAUGUAGGGGCCAAUAUGGGCAUCUAGGUCCCGCUAUUGGUUAUUGACCAGAGAGUGUCUCAGGUCAUGUCUGCAUAGUUCUCGAACCCGCAUGGUCUGCACAUUUAAGGUUCGGUGACGUCUCGGUAUUAUUGAGUUAUGUGUGUUUGGUAACCGGAAGUUGUUCAGAGUCCCGGAUGAGAUCCCGGACAUCACGAGGAGCUCCUGAAUGGUCCGAAGGUAAAUAUUGAUAUAUAGGAAGUCCCGUUUUGGUCACCGGAAAAGUUUUGGGUGUUUUCGGUGUUGUGCCGGGAAUGCCGGGUGGGCCAUCGAGAGGGGUCAGUCACACCGGGAGGCUACUUGGGCCUUAGUGGUGGCACACCAGACCUUAGUGGGCUGGCCGAGCCAGCCCCAAAGGGCCCAUGCGGCCAAGAGGUGGUAGAAGGAAAAACCCAAAGGAAAGAGGGAAAUAUUCCAAGUAGAGAGGAGUCCUACUUGGAGUAGGAUUGGAGGUGGACUCCUCCACCUCCGCCCUAUUCGGCCGAACCCCUCGGAGGGGCUUUGGAUGCCUCCUCCCUCCCUCCCUCCUAUAUAUACUAUAGGAUUUGGAGGGCAGCCCUAACCCUAAUAAUCCAUGGUUGCCCUCUCUCUCUCUCUAGAUAGUUUUUCUCCUUUAGAUUAGUUCCGCAGCGCUUGGCGAAGCCCUGCUGGAUUGUUCACCACCACCACCACGCCAUCGUGCUAGAGAAUUCAUCUACCUCUCCGCCCCUCUUGUUGUAUCAAGAAGGUGGUGAUCGUUAUUGAGUUGUACGUGUGCUGAAUGCGGAGGUGUCGUCCAUUCGGCACUAGAUCGGGUUGGAUCGUGAUGGGAUCGCAGGACAGAUCGUGAUGAGAUCGCGGGACAGGAUGCGAUUUGGAUCACGAAUAUGUUCCACUACAUCAACCGCAUUAUAUACAAUUCCGCUUAGCGAUCUACAAGGGUAUGUAGAUACACUCUCCCCUCUCGUAGAUGGUCAUUACCAUGGAUAGAUCUUAUGUACGCGUAGGAAAUUUUUUGAUUCCCAUGUGACGUUCCCCAACAGCUGCCAUAUGCCACCACCAUGCCACCAUUAUCCUUGCUGCCAUAUAGCACCACCAAUCCUAGUCUGAACCCUUUUCGUCUUAGGUUAAUUUCAAGAUCAUCUUUUUUCGGUUUCGCGUUUCCUUACCUGAGUAGGUUUCGGAAAAAAAUGAGUCUGUCAUGCUUUUCAGAGCACUUUUUAGGCCAAACUUUUGAAGGGUGAAUUUUUUUCCUAUCGUUUUUUAGGAUUUUUAGAGAGUUUUGAGACACUCGCCAUCAUAGUGAUUUUUGUCGCUUAUUUUGGUCGUCACAGCCCCGAAUUGCUCUAAAAUUUAUUUUGUCAAAAAAUAAAAGAGCAAAGAAAAUCAGAGUGGCUCUUCCCUUGAUUCCGUGUAGCGUCAUGAAAUUUUUGGUGUUCUAGGCUCGCGUCUCUAGUACGGUCUAGCCUAGGACCAACACGGUAGCGUCGUUGAGUGUCUUUUCAACUUUGCAUCUCUGAACUGAUUAUUGCUGACCCUUUUUGCUACCAUAUUAUAAGCCUUCCCAGCUCCACAUACAUCUACAUCAUCUGUGUGAUACCACCUCGCAAUCGCUCUAUCCAAGCUUUGAGAGUUUUGACUACAUCGGUUGCCGAUCACCACAUGCUGUUGGGUAAGAACUGGUAAGAAAUUGAGAUUUUCUUGAUGGAUUUGUGACAUACUACCACCACCACCACCACCACCAUAAACACCACCACCACCACCACUUCCUAGUAGUGUGUAGGUUCAUAUUGUUCUGUGUUCCUAUUGCUGCUAACCAUGCCAGGUUCACAAGAAGACGAGAUCGACUGGGAGAGCUUGACCAACCGAGAGCUCCAUGAUAAAUUUCAGCAAAUGAUGGCUCACCAGGUACACGAUUUUGUGACCACCUUUGGGGAGGCCAUGGAGAAGCUAGAAGGUUUGGAGAAGACAUUCGACACCAAGAUGGAUGCCAAGUUCAAUGAGGUGCUUGCCCAUCUGCCACCACCAGCUGCAGCUUCUGACCCUCUUCAACAUCAACAACAACAACGAGAGCAACGAGGCCCAUACAUGGUGGGACGAGCACGACGUGUGCCUUCCGACCAAGUUCAGAAUUUUGGUGGUGUUUCUCCUGCUGCUCCUCCUAUUGUUGUCGUUGCUCCUGCUGCUACUACUGAGGUUUAUGUGGCUGAGAAGAAUGAGAAUUAUGAUGGUGAUUACGAUGAUGAGGGAGAGGUUGCUCCAAAUCAGCACCAUGGAUAACAACCACCACCACAAGCCGCACGUCGUCCACAUGGAUACAAUCGCAAUGGUAGGGAUGCACCACACCCUCAGGUACGGGAUCAUGACCAUCUCCCUAAACUUAAAUUGAAUAUUCCUGCAUUUGAUGAUCGAUAUGUUCCUGAUAUAUAUAUCUUACUUGGGAGUUAGAAACAAAGCAACAUUUUACAUGCUUACAAUUUCCUGAAGAUAGACGUGUUGCUAGUGUUGUUUGUUCAUUCACUAGAUUUGCUUGCCUUUGGUCGUCUGAACAUUGUCAAAUACAUCAUGCUAAUAUUCCAACUAAUUGGGCUGCUUUGAAAACUGCUAUGCUUGCUCGUUGGGUUCCAGCAUAUUAUCAACGUGAAUUACUUCAAAAAUUGCAGCGUUUAAGACAAGGAAUUUUUUUGUAGAAGAAUAUUAUCAGGAAUUACAAACUGGCAUGAUUAGAUGUGGUAUUGUUGAGGACAAUGAAGCUAUGCUUGCAUGUUUUAUGGGUGGAUUAAAUAGAGAUAUUCAGACUAUUCUAGAAUAUAAGGAUUAUAACACUAUCACAUGUUUAUUCCAUCUUGCUUGCAACGCUGAACGUGAAGUGCAGGAUCGACAUGCAUUGGCGACAACUAAUUUUUCUGCAGGUCGCACUUCCUCAUGGACGCCACAAAUCUCAUCUACUUCCACACGUCCUCCUGCAUCAGCACCGCCUACUUCAACCACCAAUUCCAACAGAGAUACCAGGAAAUAGGCUCCGGUCCCACCUUUCGCCAAGAGCACACCUUCCCGGCUAGCACGGAGCUCUUCUUCAUCCAUGGCAUCCAGAGGGCAAACACAUGAGGUUAUCUGUCAUUGUUGCAAGGGUGGAGAUCAUUAUGCGAGAGAGUGCCCAUGCAAGCGCGUAACGAUUAUUACUGAGGAUGGUGGAUAUGACUCCACUAGUGACUAUGAUGAGGAGAAUCUGGCUAUUAUUGCAAGUGAAGAACAGGGUGUAGGUGAUACUGAACAAGAAAAAAAUACAUGGCUGCUCACUACGCUAACAGGUAUGAAAGCUUAGUUUCUCAACGUCUUUUAAGUGUGCAUGUAACACAGGCUGAGCAAAAUCAGAGGCACAACUUGUUCCAUACAAAGAGAGUUGUAAAUGAGUGUUCUGUUCGCCUAAUCAUCGAUGGAGGGAGUUGCAACAACUUAGCUAGCAUGGAGAUGGUAGAGAAGUUGUCCCCCACCACCAGACCACAACAUCAUCCUUAUUACAUCCAGUGGUUCAACAACAGUGGCAAGGUUAAGGUAACAUGUACUAUUCGUGUGCAUUUUAGCAUUGCUACAUAUUCUGACUUUAUUGAUUGUGAUGUGAUACUCAUGCAAGCAUGCUCCGUUUUACUUGGUAGACCAUGGCAAUUUGACAAAAAAAUUGUACACCAUGGUAGGACAAAUAUAACUUUGCUUUCUAUGUCUCCUGAACAUAUUAUGAAAGAUGACAUUGCUAGAGAUAGUAAAGCAAAACAGGACCUCCAUAAGAGUGAAAAUCAGAUUGUAGCAAACAAAUUUGAGCAACACAAUAAGCCUAAUAAACCAUCAUCUAGUGUUGCAUCUGAAAUAAAACUGAAGAGUGGUUGUUUACUUGCCACUAAAUCUGAUAUUACUGAUUUGGAUGUUACUACAUCUGUUUGCUAUGCUUUCGUAUGCAAAGAGGUAUUAUUUUCAUUCAAGGACAGGCUUCCCUCUUUGCCUCAUGUUGUCAUUAACAUUUUGCAGGAGUUCGCUGACGUCUUUCCACAAGACGUGCCACCAGGAUUACCACCUAUUAGAGGGAUUGAGCAUCAGAUUGACUUAAUUCCCGGUGCAUCGCAACCCAACCGUGCACCAUACUGUACCAAUCCAGAGGAGACGAAGGAGAUUAUGCCUCAAGUACAAGAGCUGCUCGACAAAGGUUAUAUAUGUGAAUCUCUUAGUCCUUGUGUUGUUCCUAUUAUUCUUGUGCUGAAAAAGGAUGGUACAUCGCGUAUGUGUGUUGAUUGUAGAGGCAUUAAUAAUAUUACUAUCUGUUAUCAUCAUCCUAUUCCUAGGCUAGAUGAUAUGCUUGAUGAAUUAAGUGGCUCUACAAUGUUCUCCAAAGUUGAUUUGCGUAGUGGAUACCAUCAAAUUCGCAUUAAAUUGGGAGAUGAAUGGAAAACAGCAUUUAAAACUAAGUUUCAAUUAUAUGAUUGGUUAGUUAUGCCUUUUGGAUUAACUAAUGCACCUAUCACUUUUAUGAGAUUAAUGAAUGAGGUUUUACGUGCUUUCAUUGGACGAUUUGUGGUAGUCUACUUUGAUGAUAUACUUAUUUAUAAUAGAUCUUUGGAGGAACACUUGGAUCAUUUGCGUGCUACUUUUAUUGCUCUACGUGAUGCAUGUUUGUUUGGUAACCUUGGGAAGUGCGCCUUUUGCAACGACCGAGUAUCUUUUCCUGGCUAUGUUGUUAUUCCACAGGGAAUUGAAGUUGAUAAAGCCAAGAUUAAAGUUAUUGAGAGUUGGCCACAACCCAAAACGGUCACACAAGUGAGGAGUUUUCUUGGACUAGCCGGGUUUUAUCGGCGUUUUGUGAGAGAUUUCAACACCAUUGCUGCACCUCUAAUGAGCUUACAAAGAAGGAUGUUCCUUAUGCUUGGGGUACCGCACAGGAAGAAGCCUUCAGGGUUUUGAAAGAUAAGUUAACACAUGCUCCUUCACUCCAACUUCCUGAUUUUAAUAAGACUUUCAAGAUUGAAUGCGAUGCUAGUGGAAUUGGAUUAGGAGGUGUGUUAUUAACAGAUGGUAAACUAGUUGCAUACUUUUCUGAAAAACUGAGUGGGCCUAGUGUGAAUUAUUCUACUUAUGAUAAGGAAUUAUAUGCUCUUGUUUGGACUUUGUAAACAUGGCAGCAUUAUUUAUGGCCCAAAGAAUUUUUCAUACAUUCUAAUCAUGAAUCUUUGAAACAUAUUAAAAGUCAAGCAAAACUGAACCGUAGACAUGCUAAAUGGGUUGAAUUCAUUGAGACUAUCCCGUACAUCAUUAAACACAAGAAGGGUAAAGAAAAUGUUAUUGAUGAUGCAUUGUCUCCUCGUUAUACUAUGAUUUCACAACUUGACUUUAAAAUAUCUAGUUUGGAGACCAUCAAAGAUCAAUAUGUGCAUGAUGCUGAUUUUAAAGAUGUGUUGGAGAAUUGUAAAGAAGGGAGAACAUGGAACAAGUUCAUCAUUAAUGAUGGAUUUGUGUUUCGUGCUAACAAGCUAUGCAUUCCAGCUAGCUCCAUUCGUAUUUUGUUGUUACAGAAGGCGCAUGUAGGAGGAUUGAUGGGACACUUUGGCGUAAAGAAGACGGAGGAUGUACUUGCUCCACAUUUCUUUCGGCCAAAGAUGCGACGACGGGAUGUUGAGCGUUUUGUUGCUCGCUGCACGACAUGUCAAAAAACUAAGUCACGACUCAAUCCUCAUGGUUUAUAUAUGCCUUUGUCUAUACCUAGUGUUCCUUGGGAGGAUAUAUCUAUGGACUUUGUUUUAGUUUUACCUCGAACAAAUAAGGGAAGGGAUAGCAUAUUUGUUGUCGUGGACAAAUUUUCAAAAAUGGCACACUUUAUACCAUAUCAUAAAAGUGAUGCUGCUCCUAAUGUGGCUGAUUUGUUCUUUUGUGAAAUUAUUCGCUUGCAUGGUGUGUCAAAUACGUUUGUUUCAGAUCAUGAUGCUAAAUUUCUUAGCCACUUUUCGAGAUGUUUAUGGGCUAAGUUGGGGACAAAAUUGAUUUUUAGUACUACAUGUCACCCCCAAACAGAUGGACAAACUGUAGUAGUCAAUAGAUCAUUGUCUACUAUGCUUACGACAUUUUUCAAAAAAAUCCUUAAAAUGUGGGAAGAAUGCUUGCCUCAUAUUGAAUUUGCUUAUAAUUAUUUGCUGCAUUCUACUACUAAGAUGUGCCCUUUUGAAGCAGUGUAUGGUUUCUUACCUCGUGUACCUAUUGAUUUGUUACCUCUUCCAUCUUCGGAGAAGGUUAAUUUUGAUGCUAAAGAAUGCGCUAAUUUGAUAUUAAAUAUGCAUGAGUUAACUAAGGAAAACAUUGGGCGUAUGAAUGCUAAAUAUAAACUUGCUGGAGAUAAGGGUAGAGAACAUGUUGUCUUUGCACCUGGAGAUCUUGUUUGGUUGCAUUUGCGUAAGGAUAGGUUUCCUGAUUUGUGCAAGUCAAAGAUAAUGCCACGUGCUCAUGGUCCUUUCAAGGUGUUAGAGAAAAUAAAUGAUAAUGCAUAUAGACUUGAGCUGCCUUAAGAUUUUGGGGCUAGUCCCACUUUUAACAUUGUUGAUUUGAAGCCAUAUUUGGGUGAGGAAGAUGAGCUUUCGUCGAGGACGACUUCAGUUCAAGAGUGGGAGGAUGAUGAGGACAUCAACACCAUUGUUACACCCACAGCCCCAUCUGUUAUACAUACUGGAUCAGUUACUAGAGCUCGUGCAUGCCAAUUGAAUUACCAUGUACUUUCAUUUCUUGGAAACCCUUCUAAUGUUCAUGAACAUAUGAUGAUGCCUAAGUUAGAUACUUUUGUUGUACUUAUGAAUGAAGGACCUAGCAUGGACAAGAAGUAUAUCCGUCGGAGCGUGAUCAAGGAUGGAGUAGAGGGUGCACGCGCGGGAAAGAACAAUGAGGCUUCGACUAGUGAUGUUUGUACUUUGAAGCCACCAUAAGGAGAGCAUGAAGGCUUGGACGAAAUAUUCAAGACACUACUUUAUAAAUUUCGUCCAUAGGCUAUUAUAGGUGCUGCGUCACCUUAUUUUUGGGCCAAGCCCAUGUAAUUUAGAAAUACCGCAUUAUAGGCUAUUUUUAGAGUCCGUGUGGGGGGGGACUGAGUUAAGGUCGGUUUCGGACCCCUCCUCCAAGGGGUCACGCAAUUCCUCCUCUUUUUCCCCAUAUAUACAUCCCUUACGGCGCCGUUUAAACUUGUGUUUUGUUUAGAUUACAAGUUCGACAUAGCUGCAACUUCGCCUUCUUCGUUUGUGUUCCACGACCAGACAAAGGCGUCACAGAACCCCACCUUCAUCAGUAAAUCUUUCCUCUUAUAUUCGCAAUAUUCAGAUUGCAAUCUUAGUUUCUUCCUUGUUCUUCGUUUGCGUGCAGGAAACAGACCCUCGUGGUCAGGUUGAUCGUGCUCCGGGGUGGUCAAUAACCUCUCGGAGUUGGUUUAGCGAUUGCUAAGGCGUGACAUCCUCACACGUUCGUAGUCGGAUCAUCAAAGUCUACUCCACCAAAACGAUGACCACCAUCUCAUCUAAAUACACGGACAACUUUGCCUCUAUCAAAUGUCAAAUCAUGUUUGGAUGCACAACGUAUGGAAUUGGGCAUUUAGAAGUUUGUGAACACAAUUGGUUGUCCAAAUCAUGAGAGGGAGGAGGCCGGAGGCGGAAAGGGAGGAGGCCGGAGGGGGAGAGGGAGGAGGCCGGAGGCGGAGAGGGGGGAGCUGGAGAGGAGAUCUCUUGUUUUCCAGGUUUGAGAAAGGUUCUAGAAGGUUUUCUUUUAAUUUUGUGUUUUCUUCCUUUUUGGUUGUUUUUUCUAUGGGUUUUACCCAACUUUUCAUGGAUUUUUAUAUUCCAGUGCCUUUCUUUCUGGUUCUUUUUACUUUUUCCUCUAUGUUUUUAAAAUUUUCUUUUAUCUUCUUUUAUUUUUUUUCAUUAUUAUAGUUAAAGAACAUAUAAAAAUCGGCAAUCCCUUUUUCAUAAUUGGGAAAUAUCUUUGUAAUCGACGAACAAUUGUAAACAUUCAUAAACUGUGAACAGUUAAAAAAUCCAGAUUUUUCUAGUUUGAAAACAAAAUUGCACAUUCACAAAUCUGCUAAUAUUUUUUAAUAAUUUGUGAACAUUUUUCUCAAUUUGUUUUCCUAAAUUCAGCAAAAGAAUCUCGAGCGUUUUUUUAACAUUCCUGAUAAUUUUGUCAAUAUGUGAACAUUUUCAUAUACAAGACCAUUAUUUUGGACAUUUGUGAAAUUCAUGAAACAUCUGACAAUUUUUUGAAUAUUUUUUCAAAGUGAGAAACAUUUGUCAGAAGACAUGAACAUCUUUUAAAUUUAUAAGCAUUUUGCAAUCUUAUGAUUAUUUUUUUAGAAUUGGGAACAUCUUUAAAAUCCAUGAACUUAUUAUAAAUUCCUGAACAUAUUUCAAAUCCUUGAACGUUGUAACGAUUGACAGUUUAAAAAAAAUCAUCGACUUAUUUUCAGUUGACAAACAAUUUCGAAAUUUCUGAAUAGUUUUCGAAAUUGGGUUCAACAUGUUUUUUUUUUCUAAUAUACGGUAUUUUAUUUCAUGAUAAUUUUUAGCUUAAAAAGAUAACUGAAUACAAAUUAUUUUCCAACAAUAUGAAAACGAGAAUUGUUCCAAACCAUGUGCUGGAUGUGUGCCUCACUGUAAAUUCACGGUUCUUAUAGACUGUUUCAAACUGCACCGAGCCUCAAGCCUCAAUCCCUAGAUACUACAGCCUCCACAUUUAACUUCAUCAAAUUCGCCGGAGGAGGUAGCAAUUCUCAAUGACUAGGCUUAUGAGGCGCAAUUCUCAAUGUCUUGGUGGUCACCUGGUCGGUCCCUGUAUUGUAUCAAGGUCGGCAAGAAAGGUUCGACCAGUUUAGAGCAUGUAACACACGCUAACUAGGCCGACACAUGUACGUUGGUUUUCUACUAAACUCGUAUUUAUGCUCUUAUUCCUGCUACAUGCACAAAAGGUUCGACAAGUUUAGAGCCCUUUUCGUAAUUAUUUGAAUUUUUUGGAAAACAAUCAUGAUUUCAGAAAUACUGGGAAAACUUAAAACAAUCUAGAAGUUAGAUUAUAUAACGUAUUCAUUAGUUUCGAAAAUUAUUUGUAUUAAUUACUUUGCCAAAUUAAAAUGUUGUGAAAUUUUACAAUAUGCAUUGCUAAAAUAAAAAAUAUUAACGUUUUAAAACUUAUUUAUGCAUUUCAAAAAGUUCAGGAAUUGAGAAGUGUUCUAAAAAUAUACCUUAAUAAAAUAAAAAAUUAAAGUACUUAAAGAAUUAUCGGUAAAUAAAAAAAAUGUCUGUCAACUUUCAAAUAUUACAGUAUUAAAUUAUUAUAGUGAUUUGGAAUUAUCAAAGUUAUUUGUCAACUUUAUAAAAACAACAAUGUUCACAAUAUACAGAAUUUUAAAAUUAUUCAUAAAUGUAUGAAAAUGUCCGCAAAUUUGAAAACAUGCUUGAAAUAUUAAUUAUUUCCGAUUUUUCAGAAAAUAUUCAACUAUUGCCUUACAUGCAGACAAGGGGAAGCCGCAGAAAGGCAUCUCAUGUGAAAUUAUCUUCUCUAUAUAAUCCUCCUAAACUGCCGUCAAAGCUCAUAUACUAGUUCACGCUGUGUCGGCCCUGGGAAAGGGCCACGACCAACAUUUAUAAAUAAAUGUACUAAGGAACGAUAAAGAUAGAGGCUUAACUGUCCGACCAGCAAAUCGGUAAACCCUAUUCCACGUGUACUCGUUAGGUGGGCCGCCCGUAUGUUUCACUUCAUGCGAGACAGUGGAAAACCUCACCUGUAGGGGGGCGCGAGAUGGGCUGGGCCAGACACACGUAAGGUUACAACCUCGAUAAACAUGGAUUACAAAAUGUUAAACUUGUAUUUGAAAAAUAUUAAACAUGUAAAAGACAAAUAUAUUAGAUAUUUACCAAAAAUGUAUAAUGUUAUAAAAAAGAAAACAUAAAAAACUAUAAGAUUUAAAAAAAAUUAAACAUGUAUUUAAAAAAUGUUGAACAUGUAUAUAAUUUUUUAUGAUGUAUAUUAAAAAUGCUUAAAUAUGUAUUGAAAACAGCGAAAAACCAUAAGAAAAACUUGAAGACCGAGAAAGGUACAAAAAAUGGAGAAGUGAAGAAAGAAAAGAGAAAACCCGAGUAAAAACAAAAAAUAGCCUGAACAAAACAAAAUUGAAGAAAAACCCAUGAAGAAACAACGAAAACCAGUAAGAAUCAUGAAAAAAUUGAAGAAACAACAAAAACCGGUAGGAACCCGUGAGGAGAAACCGAGGAAGUAAUUGUAAAAAAUUGAGGAAAAAUGAAGAAACCCAAUGAAAAAUAGAAAACCGUAAAGAAAAACAGGCGAAACCAGCCAAGAGAUCAAACAUGGUGAACACAAUAGAAAUCCAGCGAACGACAAAAUCGAGUAUGGGUCAACCCAAUAGCUUCAACUACAAUAGUGGGAGCAGUGGCGGAGGACGAAAAAAAAAUAAGGUGGGGCGAACUCCAAGCCCAAAAAAGUUGGAUGUGAAACCAACGUAUAUAACACACAGUAACACAUACAGCUGCUAACACACAAUGUACAUUAAUAUUUUAAAUGAUCCUAAACAGAAUAAGCGGUAAAGAAAAUGUAAACAUGUUUGUCUAAAUAGAAUAACAAUCUAAAACAUACCGCUUAAUAGUGAAGCUUUAAUGGCGCCUAGAAGACCCAGGCAAUGGCAGUGCCCUACCAUCCUUUUGAAAACUUUCCUUGAUUUUACCAAGAUCUAGACUUUUGAAUAUCCCACGUUCAAUGUAACACACCAUCAAGUCAUUAAGCCAGCAACCGGACAUCUUGUUGCGCAACUCAGUCUUAAUGAUUUUCAUUGCUGAAAAGGCCCUUUCAACCGUUGUCGUGGCCACCGGUAGUAGCAGUGCCAACUCAAUGAGGCGAUAAACCGUAGGGAACAUGAUAUGCCUUUUAAGUUCAACCAUCUUUUUAGCUAGGCUUGCAAUAUCAUGACAAGCUCUAAAGUCUUCGACCCUUCUGAUAUGAAUAAUGAAUAGCUCAAGGUUAUCUUCUAUGUGUUCACGUUCAUAAUUAGAGAAAUCCGCAUGAUAAAUCUCUGUGAGUUGUGCAAGCUUAACCACAUUGAACCUAGAAAAUGAGUUUCUUGGGUCAUGACAAGAGAAGUUUUGGAGCAGCUUUGAAGAUACCUCAUUGAAACGAUGAUCAAACUCUGUAGUGAUGGAGUCUAUAGCAACAUAGAAGGUGUCCACACGGAAAAAAUGAUCAGCGGUGACAUUGUUUCUUCCACCUUUUCUUGAUUUCCCCCAUUUUGUAAACAUGUCAUCCAUAUUUGGUAUUGGAAUGUCAUUUUUGGUGCAAAAUGCUUUAACAUCUUCCAAUAGUGGCUCCCAACCAUCAUUUCUCCAAUUGAUCAAACGUGUUCUCACGUUCAUAACCAAUGACAUUGCCUGGAAUGACGCAAUUAUAAUUCACAAGGUUAGAUGCAAGUCAAUUUACACGAACAACAUAUAUCAUGCUUACAACAUAACCAUCACAUACCUGAACAACAUUUUGAUCCUUCUUUUGCAAUAGAAGAGAUAAAUCAUUUGCAAUAGAAGUUCUGUAAUGAGAGCCCCAUCUUGUAUCUCCCGGUCUAACUAAAGAUGUUUCUUGAUUUUUCCCUCUUCCCGUGGGCACCUCACCUCCCUCAAUCUUAGCCAAAAGAACUUCUUUUUGCUUAUAAAGUAACAUAUCCUUCCUCCUACAAGAUGAACUGCUGAGAUUGACAAUCAUGGUCACAUAGUCGAAAAAAAUCCUCAACGCCCUUGCAACAUCUCGAAACUGCAACUACUAUCAAUUGAAGUUGGUGAGCAAAGCAGUGAAUAUAGAAAGCAUGUGGGUUCUCAUCACCAAUUAACUUUUGAAGGCCAUUAAAUUCUCCUCUCAUAUUAGAUGCACCAUCAUACCCUUGCCCUCUUAGUCUUGCAACAAGCAGACCAUGUUUAGCAAAAACCUCCAAUAAUGCCUUCUUCAAAGAUGCUGAUGUUGUGUCUGGGACAUGCUUAAUGCCCAAAAACCUCUCCAUGGUCUCCCCUUUUUUGCUCAAAAACCUGCACGAAAAUCAUACAAUUAGUUGUCUCACUAUACUAUUCUAGAUAGAACAAACUCAAAAGUACUUAACAUACUUCAACACGAACCUCACAACCACGGCCAUUUGUUCUUUCACCGAAAUAUCACGACACUCAUCAAUAAGAACAGAGAAAAGGCAACCAUCCAUCUCUUCUUUGAUUGCUUUGGUGACCGCCAUUGCACAAUGCUUAGCAAGUGCUUUUUGAAUGAUUCCAGAAGUCAUUUUGGCAUUUUUAGGACAUAGCUCAUCAAAUGCAACCUUCACUUCCGGAUUCCUUUCUUUGACCCAAUCAAGUAACUCUAAAAAAUUUCCCUUGUUCAAAGAAGUAGUGGAUUCAUCAUGUCCACGAAAUGGUUCACCUUGUAAUGCAAGAUAACUUACAAUGCCCAAAGAUGUGUCCACACGAGUUUCAUAUUUCUCGAGUGAACCUUUGGUGUAAGUUGUUACUUUACUUUUCAAACUUGCAUUUUGAGUUUUGAAAUCAUCACAUGUUGUCCUUGAAAUAUUGUGGAUGCUAGAUGGCCCACCAACAUGUUUACGGAAUGCUGCAACUGCAUUUUUCCAAUUGUCAUACCCUGAUUUGGAGAAAACCUCGUAACCAAAUUUAUCAUCCAUUCGAUCAUGCUUAAAGAGAAAACGAUCAAAGCAGUAAGCCUUUUCCUUCUCUACACUAUAUUCCAACCAAUCAAAGUCCUUAUACCAUGGUGGCCGAAAGCACCUUUCAUCUUUAUUUGGUGGAAAAUUGUGAUCAAUUGGUUGAGUUGGACCCAUCUCUAGGUAAGCAAAUCUAACAUCAUCUCUAAUAUUGAGGCUAAAUAUAUCUAUUGGAAUGCGAAGUCCUGGAUCACCUUGUAUGUCAUCUACACAAAAAAGGUUAUACCUUCAAGUCCUGAAUCAACAUUCUCCUCCACUGUGAAAUUUGCAUUAUCUCCUUCCACGGGAUCUAUAACUCGUUCAAUAUGUGCUUGAUUUUGAUGAACAGAAUAUGACGCAGCCUCAAGACUGGUUGUAGCAUUCCGACUUUCGUGGGUACUUGGAUUUGGAUUGGAGCUACUGCCACUACCAACAACCUCAAAAUAUCUUGCCAAACCUGCAAUCUAUCACAGAAAAUGUCUCUAAAAUCAUCAGAAAUUGCUACUACAUUCUCUGAAAGACUGAAACUGACACUAAAAUUCAGAAAUAUACCUCUCCCGUUCGUCUUUGAGGCCCUCUUUCUCUUCCUGUCCAUCUUGCCGGCGGUCUGGCUGCUGACCGCCGCCCCGUGCCGCCGCGCCGGCCCUGUUAUCGCCGGCCCUGUCGCGGUGCCGCCGGCCCCAGUGCCGCCGCUGCCUGCAGGCUGCGAGCGCGAGGUACGGCCCUGCGCCCUGCUACUUACCGCCCGAGGCUGCUGCGUGCUGCUGGCCGUCGGGAAGACGGGAACACGCUGCUGGUGGCGGCGGCUAGGGUUUCUUUGACCGUGGCUCGAAGCGAGGAAAGCAGAGACACUGGUGGCUCGAAGCGAGGAAAAUAAACGAGGUGGAACCGUGGAAGGGAGACGGGGCGUGGGCGUGACGGACUGUACAUGUGGCUGUGUAUACCGUAUGCAGCGUGACGGGCUGUGUAUACAUAUAUAAAAAAAAUUCCUGUAAAUCAAGGUGGGGCGAGCGCCACACCUCGCCCUACCAGGAGCUCCGCCUGUGGUUGUGUAUACACAUAUAAAAAAAAAUUCCUGUAAAUCAAGGUGGGGCGAGCGCCACACCUCGCCCUACCAGGAGCUCCGCCUGUGACUACAGGCAUGGAGGCAUUGCUCAACUCAGUCCCUGUUAAAGUAACGCAUGCCAUGAACGCCGGACUCACCGCUCCUUACACAGAGGAGGAGAUUAAAACAACCCUUUUCCAGAUAUUCCCCACCAAGGCCCCGGGACCUGAUGGAUACCCAGCACACUUCUUCCAGCGCCAUUGGGAGCUUUGUGGUUUAGAAGUUACUAAUGUUGUGAUGCGUAUUCUCCAAGGCGAAUAGAGCCGUGAGGUUGUUAUAAACGAGACCAUAUUGGUAUUAAUUCCAAAGGUGAAAGAUCCUUCAAAUCUUGCUCAGUUCAGACCUAUUAGCCUAUUCGAAGUGCAAACAAUUUUUAAAUCACAUUUUUUUCAAUUUUAAGAACAAAGUUCAAAACCGAGAACAAAGUUGAAUAUUAAGAUUUUUUUUGAAAUCGAGAACAAUUUUUCAAAAAUACAGAUUUUUUUAAAAUCGACAACAUUUUCUAAAAAUCCAAAAACAUUUUUUGAAACAAAAACAGAAAAGUAAAAAAAGAAUAAAGAACAGAAAAAAAGAAAAUAACUGGUUCACAGAACAUUCUAGAAGUUUUCCCAAACCAGAAAAAACCGGCUGAAAACCUCUAGAUUCCCAAAACCGGGUGAUGUAACCCCGCCAAAUGGGUUGGCCCUUCUGAAAUCGACCCCCUCCCGCUCUGUGCGAAGCCCCGACACCGAUUCACACAGAGCGGCGAAUAGGGUUUUUCCACCAACGUACCCUUCUAGACGUUGUGUCCUUUGUGUGGACCGGUCUAAUCUGGUUUACUUCUCCGUCGGUUUUAUCUUCUGUGAACCAUUUUUUUUCUUUUCCUUUUUUUCCAAAUCAGUGAACUUUUUCAAUUUCGUGAAGUUCUUCCAACACCGGGAUUUGUUUUUCCAAAAUUGUGAAAUCAUUUGAAAAUCAUGCACACUUUAUUAGAUGGUGAAUAAUUUUCGUAAAUACGUAAUUUACUUUUAAAACACAUUAACAUUUUUAAAAUUCAAGUACAUUUCUUUAUAUUAUUGAACAUUUAUUGAAUUCGUGAACAUUUUUUUGGAAUCUCAAUCAUUUUUCAAAUACGUGCACAUUUCUUGUUUUUGUCGAAUGUUUUUAAAAUUCUGAACAUUUUGAUUUUGCAAACAUUCUUUAAAUUGUGAUAUUUGCUUUUAAAAAAGUGAAUGUUUUGAACUUAUAUAUAUGUUUUUAAUUCAUUAAUAUAUUUUUAAAUCAUGAUUAUUUUUGAAAAUCAUGGACAUUUUUUGAAUUCACGAAUAUAUUAUGAAUUAAGAAACAUAAUUUGAAUUCAUGUUUAUUAAAAUUGUGAAUAUUUUUCAAAAUCAUAGGGAAAAUUUCAUGUAUUACUAUAUAAGUUCAAGAAAGAAACCCGAAAAGUUGAAAAAAAGAGCACCAGUAAGAAUUUUCAUGAGGGGGUCAAUUUUAAAAAAUGUAGAAGUCCAAACAUUUUUCUACUUGAGUUCAAAAUAAAAAUAAAAACGUGGGAUUUUUCUUUAUACACAACUUGGAGGAGAAGUUCACCGGUGUACAUCAGAAAAGCUCAUAUAGUAAUUCAAAUUGAGUUCAAACAAUGAAAAAGACAAUUAAUUCACAUGAAAUAUUUUUUGACACAAGUUCGAGGAUCAUGACACAGUCAGUUCAGACAAGAAUUAUUUGUAAAAUAUUUGAACCUAAAUAAUAUUUAGAUAAGUUCACGUUUUCAUCCCAAGGUAGUUCAAAAAAAUCUAGCCAAAGGAUCCACCAUUCAAUUGAGAGUUUCAGAUAACAAAAAAUUGAUGCCAUUUAUCGUUUUUUAAAUUGCUCUUAAAUCAUGAUGAAUUUCAGAAAUGGCUAAAUAUGAAAAAGGUUCUACUUUUCAAUAGUUUUCCAAUGGUAUAUUAUACAUUUCAUUCCAAUAAAUGGAUCACAAGUUUGAUGUAGGUUGCUCGAUGCAAAUUUCACCGUAUUCACAACUGCUCUUAACCCGUGAUGAAAGUUCAGCGUAUUCAAUAUCUUUUCUGUUGGGUAACGUAGCAUAAAUUCAAAAUUUUCCUACGCAUAUUCAGAUCUUCCUAUGGAGAGACCAGCAACGAGAGAGGGGUAAGAGCAUCUUCAUACCUUUGAAGAUCGCUAAGCGGAAGCGUUGCUAGAACGCGGUUGAUGGAGUCGUACUCGCAGCGAUUCCGAUCUAGUGCCGAACAACGGCACCUCCGCGUUCAACACACGUGCAGCCCGGUGACGUCUCCCGCACCUUGAUCCAGAAAGGAGGAGGGAGAAGUUGGGGAAGAACUCCAGCAACACGACGGCAUGGUGUCGAUGGAGACACAAGGUCUCCCGGCAGGGCUUCGCCAAGCACCGGCGGAGAGGAGGAGGAAGAAGAGCAGGGCUGCGCCGAGAGAGAGGGAAAAACCGUGUGUCUCAAUGGCCAAAAGUGCCCGAUAUAUAUAGGGGGAGGGGAGAGGGGGUGCCACCCCUAGGGUUCCCACACUAGGGGGUGCGGCAGCCCCCCCAGAUGGGAGGUGCGGCGGCCAGAGGGGGAGGAGGGGUUGGCGCACCAUCUGGUGGGCCUUAGGCCCACCUGGAUUAGGGUUUGGCCCCCCUUUUCUCUCCCUUGCGCAAUGGGCUGAGUGGGGAGGCGCACCAGCCCACCUAGGGGCUGGUUCCCACCCCCACUUGGCCCACCUUAUCUCCCGGGGUCGUUGCCCCCCUUCGGUAGUCCCCCGGGGCCACCUCCGGUCGUCCCGCUGGUCCCGGUACGUUACCUGUGAUGCCCGAAACACUUCCGGUAUCCGAAACCAUCCGUCCUAUAUUUCAAUCUUUACCUCCGGACCAUUCCGGAGCUCCUCGUGACGUCCGGGAUCUCAUCCGGGACUCCGAACAACUUUCGGUAACCUCGUAUAACAAUUCCCUAUAACCCUAGCGUCAUCGAACCUUAAGUGUGUAGACCCUACGGGUUCGGGAGACAGGCAGACAUGACCGAGACACCUCUCUGGCCAAUAACCAUCAGCGGGGUCUGGAUACCCAUGGUGGCUCCCACUUGCUCCACGAUGAUCUCAUCGGAUGAACCACGAUGUCAAGGAUUCAAUCAAUCCCAUACACGAUUCCCUUUGUCUGUCGGUACAGAACUUGCCCGAGAUUCGAUCGCCGGUAUACCUAUACCUUGUUCAAUCUCGUUACGGGUAAGUCUCUUUACUCGUUCCGUAGCACGUCAUCGUGUGACUAACUNNNNNNNNNNNNNNNNNNNNNNNNNNNNNNNNNNNNNNNNNNNNNNNNNNNNNNNNNNNNNNNNNNNNNNNNNNNNNNNNNNNNNNNNNNNNNNNNNNNNGAAAAAUCAGGUAUAUUUGAUAUACAUGUUAUUGAUGUGUACUUAACUAGCUCUCGUAGUAGUGCCUGGGUAUUUGAUACUGGUUCUGUUGCUCAUAUUUGCAACUCGAAACAGGAACUGCGGAAUAGGCGAAGGCUGGCGAAAGACGAAGUGACGAUGCGCGUAGGAAAUGGUUCCAAGGUUGAUGCAAUCGCCGUCGGCACAGUGUCACAUCAACUACCAUCGGGAUUAGUGAUGAACUUAAAUCAUUGUUACUUAGUGCCUGCGUUGAGCAUGAACAUUAUAUCUGGAUCUUGUUUAUUGCGAGACGGUUACUCUUUUAAGUCUGAGAAUAAUGGUUGUUCUAUUUCUAUGAGUAACAUCUUUUAUGGUCAUGCACCGAAUGUGAGAGGAUUGUUCAUAUUGAAUCUCGAUAGCGAUACACAUAUACAUAACAUUGAGACCAAAAGAGUUAGAGUAAACAAUGAUAGCGCCAUAUUUUUGUGGCACUGCCGUUUAGGUCAUAUUGGUGUAAAGCGCAUGAAGAAACUCCAUGCUGAUGGACUUUUGGAGUCACUUGACUUUGAUUCACUUGACACGUGUGAACCAUGCCUCAUGGGCAAGAUGACUAAGACUCCGUUCUCCGGAACGAUGGAGCGUGCAAGUGACUUGUUGGAAAUCAUACAUACCGAUGUGUGUGGUCCAAUGAGCGUAGAGGCACGUGGCGGAUAUCGUUAUUUCCUCACCUUCACUGACGAUUUAAGUAGAUAUGGUUAUGUCUACUUGAUGAAGCACAAGUCUGAAACAUUUGAAAAGUUCAAGCAAUUUCAGAGUGAAGUGGAAAAUCAUCGUAACAAGAAGAUCAAGUUCCUACGGUCUGAUCGUGGGGGUGAAUAUCUGAGUUUCGAGUUUGGUGCUCACUUAAGACAAUGUGGAAUUGUUUCGCAGUUAACACCGCCUGGAACACCACAGCGUAAUGGUGUGUCCGAAUGUCGUAAUCGUACUUUGUUAGAGAUGGUGCGAUCUAUGAUGUCUCUUACUGAUUUGCCGUUAUCAUUUUGGGGUUAUGCAUUAGAAACAACUGCAUUCACUUUAAAUAGGGCACCAUCAAAAUCCGUUGAGACGACACCAUACGAACUGUGGUAUGGCAAAAGACCAAAGUUGUCGUUUCUUAAAGUUUGGGGAUGUGAUGCUUAUGUCAANNNNNNNNNNNNNNNNNNNNNNNNNNNNNNNNNNNNNNNNNNNNNNNNNNNNNNNNNNNNNNNNNNNNNNNNNNNNNNNNNNNNNNNNNNNNNNNNNNNNUAGUCUUAUUCUUUUCCGGCGGUAUUGUGGGAUGAAGCGGCCCGGACCGACCUUACACGUACGCUUACGUGAGAAUGGUUCCACCGACAGACAUGCACAUCGUGCAUAAAGGUGGCUAGCGGGUGUCUGUCUCUCCUACUCUAGUCGGAUUGGAUUUGAUGAAAAGGGUCCUUAUGAAGGGUAAAUAGCUUUGGCAUAUCAUCGUUGUGGCUGUCACGUAGGUAAGAAGGCGUUCUUGCUAGAAACCCAAAUCAGCCAUGUAAAACUUGCAACAACAAUUAGAGGACGUCUAACUUGUUUUUGCAGGGUUUGACAUGUGAUGUGAUAUGGCCAAAGUUGUGAUGUUGCAUGUAUGAUGUAUGAGAUGAUCAUGUUAUUGUAAUAGGUUUCACGACUUGCAUGUCGAUGAGUAUGACAACCGGCAGGAGCCAUAGGAGUUGUCUUAAUUUAUUGUAUGAGAUGCAACGCCAUGUGCUUACUACUUUUAGUUCAUUGCUAACGGUUAGCCAUAGUAGUAGUGAUAGUAGUAGUUGGCGUGACGACUUCACGGAGACACGAUGAUGGAGAACAUGAUGAUGGAGAUCAUGGUGUCACGCCGGUGACGAUGAUGAUCAUGCGAUGCCUGAAGAUGGAAAUCGAAUGAGCAAAGANNNNNNNNNNNNNNNNNNNNNNNNNNNNNNNNNNNNNNNNNNNNNNNNNNNNNNNNNNNNNNNNNNNNNNNNNNNNNNNNNNNNNNNNNNNNNNNNNNNNCGUUUUGAGCAACACGGGGCAUAUGAGAUGUUCCAAGAGCUGAAGCUAGUUUUUCAAGCUCAUGCCCGUGCCGAGAGAUAUGAAGUCUCCGACAAGUUCUUCAGCUGUAAGAUGGAGGAGAAUAGUUCUGUCAGUGAGCACAUACUCAAAAUGUGUGGGUUACACGGUCGUCUGACUUCACUUGGAGUCGAACUUCCGGAUGAUGCUAUCAUUGACAGAAUCCUCCAGUCUCUCCCACCAAGCUACAAAGGCUUUGUGCUUAACUACAACAUGCAAGGGAUGGAGAAAACCAUUCCCGAGUUGUACUCAAUGCUCAAGUCUGCAGAAGUAGAAAUCAAGAAGGAGCAUCAAGUGUUGAUGGUCAACAAGACCACUAGUUUCAAGAAAGGCAGGGGGUAAGAAGAACUUCAAGAAAGACGGCAAAGCUGUUGCCGCGCCCGGUAAGCCAGAUGUCGGGAAGAAGAAAAAGAACGGACCCAAGCCUAAGACUGAGUGCUUCUNNNNNNNNNNNNNNNNNNNNNNNNNNNNNNNNNNNNNNNNNNNNNNNNNNNNNNNNNNNNNNNNNNNNNNNNNNNNNNNNNNNNNNNNNNNNNNNNNNNNCACUAGACCGGACGUUAGCCUGGCCAUAAGUAUGGCAGGCAGGUUCCAGAGUAAUCCAGGAGUGGAUCACUGGACGGCGGUGAAGAAUAUCCUGAAGUACCCGAAAAGGACUAAGGAGAUGUUUCUCGUGUAUGGAGGUGAUGAAGAGCUCGCCGUAAAAGGUUAUGUCGAUGCAAGCUUUGACACAGAUCCGGACGACUCUAAGUCGCAAACCGGAUACGUAUUUAUUCUUAAUGGGGGUGCGGUAAGCUGGUGCAGUUCCAAGCAAAGCGUCGUAGCUGAUUCUACAUGUGAAGCGGAGUACAUGGCUGCCUCGGAGGCGGCUAAGGAGGGUGUCUGGAUGAAGCAGUUCAUGACAGAUCUUGGAGUGGUGCCAAGCGCACUGAAUCCAAUAACCUUGUUCUAUGACAACACGGGUGCCAUUGCCUUAGCAAAGGAACCACAGUUUCACAAGAAGACCAGACACAUCAAACGACGCUUCAACCUCAUCCGCGACUACGUCGAAGGGGAGGACGUAAAUAUAUGCAAAGUGCACACGGAUCUGAAUGUAGCAGACCCGCUGACUAAACCUCUUCCACGGGCAAAGCAUGAUCAACACCAGAACUGUACGGGUGUUAGAUUUAUUACAAUGUAAUUCGCAUAGUGAUGUGAGGGCUAGAUUAUUGACUCUAGUGCAAGUGGGAGACUGUUGGAAUUAUGCCCUAGAGGCAAUAAUAAAUAAUUAAUUAUUAUAAUUCAUGUAUCAAGAUAAUCGUUUAUUAUCCAUGCUAUAAUUGUAUUGAAUGAAGACUUAGAUACAUGUGUGGAUACAUAGACAAAACACCGUCCCUAGCAAGCCUCUAGUUGGCUAGCCAGUUGAUCAAGGAUAGUCAGGGUCUUCUGGCUAUGUGCAAGGUGUUGUUGCUUGAUAACUGGAUCACGUCAUUAGGAGAAUCACGUGAUGGACUAGACCCAAACUAAUAGACGUAGCAUGUUGAUCGUGUCAUUUUGUUGCUACUGUUUUCUGCGUGUCAAGUAUUUAUUCCUAUGACCAUGAGAUCAUAUAACUCACUGACACCGGAGGAAUGCUUUGUGUGUAUCAAACAUCACAACAUAACUCGAUGGCUAUGAAGAUGCUCUACAUGUAUCUCCGAAGGUGUCCAUUGAGUUAGUAUGGAUCAAGACUGGGAUUUGUCACUCCGUGUGACGAAGAGGUAUCUCGGGGCCCACUCGGUAAUACAACAUCACACACAAGCCUUGCAAGCAAUGUGACUUAGUGUAAGUUGCGGGAUCUUGUAUUACGGAACGAGUAAAGAGACUUGCCGGUAAACGAGAUUGAAAUAGGUAUGCGGAUACUGACGAUCGAAUCUCGGGCAAGUAACAUACCGAAGGACAAAGGGAAUGACAUACGAGAUUAUAUGAANNNNNNNNNNNNNNNNNNNNNNNNNNNNNNNNNNNNNNNNNNNNNNNNNNNNNNNNNNNNNNNNNNNNNNNNNNNNNNNNNNNNNNNNNNNNNNNNNNNNNNGAGGGGGGCAGCACCAGCCCUUAGUGGGCUGGUGGGCAAGCCCAGAGAGGCCCCUGCGUAGGAGAUAAGAAAAUCAAAGAGAAAAAAGGGGGAAGUGGGAAGGAAGGGAAGGACUCCACCUUGGGGCCUCUUGAGCCCCAAGGCAAGGCUCCUCCCUCCCACCUAUAUAUACGGAGGUUUUAGGGCUGAUUUGAGACAACUUUUCCACGGCAGCCCGACCACAUACCUCCACGGUUUUUCCUCUAGAUCGCGUUUUUGCGGAGCUCGGGCGGAGCCCUGCUGAGAUUAGAUCACCCCAAACCUCCGGAGCGCCGUCACGCUGUCGGAGAACUCNNNNNNNNNNNNNNNNNNNNNNNNNNNNNNNNNNNNNNNNNNNNNNNNNNNNNNNNNNNNNNNNNNNNNNNNNNNNNNNNNNNNNNNNNNNNNNNNNNNNUGUUGGAAAUAUGCCCUAGAGGCAAUAAUAAAAUGAUUAUUAUCAUAUUUCCUUGUUCAUGAUAAUCGUCUAUCGUUCAUGCUAUAAUUGUAUUAACAGGAAACAGUAAUACAUGUGUGAAUGAAUAGAUCACAAUGUGUCCCUAGCAAGCCUCUAGUUGGCUAGCUCGUUAGUCAAUAGAUGAUCAUGGUUUCCUGAUCAUGGACAUUGGAUGUCAUUGAUAACGGGAUCACAUCAUUGGGAGAAUGAUGUGGUGGACAAGACCCAAUCCUAAGCCUAGCACUAGAUCGUAUUGUUCGUAUGCUAAUGCUUUUCUAAUGUCAAGUAUCUUUUCCUUCGACCGUGAGAUUGUGCAACUCCCGGAUACCGUAGGAGUGCUUUGGGUGUAUCAAACGUCACAACGUAACUGGGUGACUAUAAAGGUGCACUACGGGUACCUCCGAAAGUGUCUGUUGGGUUGGCACGAAUCGAGAUCGGGAUUUGUCACUCCGUGUGAGGAGAGGUAUCUCUGGGCCCACUCGGUAGAACAUCAUCAUGAGCUCAAUGUGACUAAGGAGUUGGUCACACGAUGAUGUGCUACGGAACGAGUAAAGAUACUUACCGGUAACGAGAUUGAACAAGGUAUAGGUAUACCGACGAUCGAAUCUCGGGCAAAUUCUAUACCGACAGACAAAGGGAAUCGUAUACGGGAUUGAUUGAAUCCUUGACAUCGUGGUUCAUCCGAUGAGAUCAUCGUGGAGCAAGUGGGAGCCACCAUGGGUAUCCAGACCCCGCUGAUGGUUAUUGGCCAGAGAGGUGUCUCGGUCAUGUCUGCCUGUCUCCCGAACCCGUAGGGUCUACACACUUAAGGUUCGAUGACGCUAGGGUUAUAGGGAAUUGUUAUACGAGAUUACCGAAAGUUGUUCGGAGUCCCGGAUGAGAUCCCGGACGUCACGAGGAGCUCCGGAAUGGUCCGGAGGUAAAGAUUGAUAUAUAGGACGGAUAGUUUCGGACACCGGAAGUGUUUCGGGCAUCACCGGUAACGUACCGGGACCACCGGAGGUGGUCCCGAGGGACCACCGAAAGGGGGUGACGACCCCGGGAGGCUAGAUGGGCUAAAUAGGGAAGGGAACCAGCCCCUAAGUGGGCUGGUGCGCCCCCCACCCAGCCCAUGUGCACCAGAAAAAAGGGAAGGGGGGAACCCUAACUAAGGUGGGCCUUAGGCCCACCAGAGGGGUGCGCCACCCCUCCUCCUUGCCCUGGCCGCCACUCCCCCCAUCUGGGAGGGCUGCCGCACCCCCUAGGGUGGGAACCCUAGGGGUGGCACCCCCUCUCCCCUUCCCCUAUAUAUAGUGGGCACUUUUGGCCUUUGGAGGACACGAUUUUCCCUCUCCCUCGGCGCAACCCUGCACUUCUUCCUCCUCCUCUGUGCCGGCGCUUGGCGAAGCCCUGCCGGGAGACCUCGUCUCUCCACCAACACCACGCCGUCGUGUUGCUGGUCUUCUUCCCCAACCUCUCCCUCCUCCUUGCUGGAUCAAGGUGCGGGAGACGUCACCGGGCUGCACGUGUGUUGAAUUUAUGCUACGUUACCCAUCAGUGGCAUCCGAGCCAGGUUUUCUAUGCGUAGAUUCUAUGCACGAGUAGAACACAAAAGUUGUGGGCGAUGGUUUGUUAAUUUGCUUGCCGUUACUAGUCUUAUUCUUUUCCGGCGGUAUUGUGGGAUGAAGCGGCCCGGACCGACCUUACACGUACGCUUACGUGAGACUGGUUCCACCGACAGACAUGCACAUCGUGCAUAAAGGUGGCUAGCAGGUGUCUGUCUCUCCUACUCUAGUUGGAUUGGAUUUGAUGAAAAGGGUCCUUAUGAAGGGUAAAUAGCUUUGGCAUAUCAUCGUUGUGGCUGUCACGUAGGUAAGAAGGCGUUCUUGCUAGAAACCCAAAUCAGCCAUGUAAAACUUGCAACAACAAUUAGAGGACGUCUAACUUGUUUUUGCAGGGUUUGACAUGUGAUGUGAUAUGGCCAAAGUUGUGAUGUUGCAUGUAUGAUGUAUGAGAUGAUCAUGUUAUUGUAAUAGGUUUCACGACUUGCAUGUCGAUGAGUAUGACAACCGGCAGGAGCCAUAGGAGUUGUCUUAAUUUAUUAUAUGAGAUGCAACGCCAUGUGCUUACUACGUUUACUUCAUUGCUAACGGUUAGCUAUAGUAGUAGUGAUAGUAGUAGUUGGCGUGACGACUUCACGGAGACACGAUGAUGGAGAUCAUGAUGAUGGAGAUCAUGGUGUCACGCCGGUGACGAUGAUGAUCAUGCGAUGCCUGAAGAUGGAAAUCGAAUGAGCAAAGAUGAUAAUGGCCAUAUCAUGUCACUAUAUGAUUGCAUUGUGAUGUUUAUGAUGUUUCACAUCUUAUUGCUUAAAACGUCGGUAGCAUAAUAAGAUGAUCCCUCUUAAAAUUUCGAGAACGUAUUCCCCUAAGUGUGCACCAUUGCGAAGGUUCGUUGUCUCGAAGCACCACGUGAUGAUCGGGUGUGAUAGAUUCUAACGUUCGCAUACAACGGGUGUAAGCCAGAUUUACACACGCGGAACACUUAGGUUGACUCGACGAGCUUAGCAUGUACAGACAUGACCUCGAAUACAAGAGACCGAAAGGUCGAACAUGAGUCGUAUGGUUGAAUACGAUCAGCAUGAAGUUGCUCACCAUGGUGACUAGUCCGUCUCACGUGAUGAUCGGACACGGGUUAGUCAACAUGGAUCAUGUAUCACUUAGAUGACUAGAGGGAUGUCGAUUUAAGUGGGAGUUCAUACUUAAUUUGAUUAAAUGAACUUAAUUAUCAUGAACUUAGUCUAAAAGUUGUCUUUAUAAAUAUUGUAGAUGUCCAACGUCAACCUCAACUUCAACGCAUUCCUAGAGAAAAACAAGCUGAAAGAUGAUGGUAGCAACUAUGGGGACUGGGUUCGCAACCUGAAGCUCAUCCUUGAAGCAGCUAAAAAGGCUUAUGUCNNNNNNNNNNNNNNNNNNNNNNNNNNNNNNNNNNNNNNNNNNNNNNNNNNNNNNNNNNNNNNNNNNNNNNNNNNNNNNNNNNNNNNNNNNNNNNNNNNNNGGCCGACCCACCGCGGCUCGACCGGCCGACCCACCGCGGCUCGACCUGCCGCUGCCGGUGCCCCACCUCUUCUCCUCCUCCGCUGCGGCCCCCACCCCCUCUGCCCUUCACGCGCCGCCGUCGCCCCCUGCUUGUCUCAGCCCGGUCCACACUUCCAGCCUCUGCUUUCCGAGGUAUGAGCAUACAUCCAUCCAUCCAUGAUUAGUUAAACUCCAUUGGCUCCAUCCAGAAAUUAUGGAUGCACACCGGAUCCGCCCCUGGCCUGUCCCCAGUAAAGGAAGCAACUUUUGUGUGUGCGUGUUUUUUCUUUGGGAAAAUUUGUUAGAGAAAAUAUGUUUUAAAUUUAAUUAGGCUUCUCUUUGUUUCUGCAGUUUACAAUGGGGAACAUGCUCACCUUCAUGCUUGGAACAACUGCAGUGGUGGAUAAUAGCCAUCCAAGGCAACAUCACCACCCAGGAGCCAGCAGCAGCAGCAGCAACAGGAUAGCAGGCCAUCAGUUUGAACCGCUGAGCAUUCUGGCUUUCAGGGCUAUGUCUGAGCACAUAGGACGCAGUGAAGUGUUCUGUCGAAAGCAGAUAGCAAAUGACCGGUUUCGGCUGCGCUGAGCAUUCUGGUUUGCGGAGCAAUCCAUGCCAAGGGGAUAUCAGCAAACGAUCCAUUCAAACUGUGUGGCAUUCUCAUCUUUGGAGUUUUGUCCGACUACAUCCUUUACGGGGUAGAGGAACCAGCGAUUGAUCUGCUUGGAGACCUUCCAGAGGUACCACGCUAAAAUCUCGUGCUCCAGCCCGUCUGUUGGUUGCAGAUUACUAGUUUCUACUUUUGUGCAACUACAUUAUAUUUUUUGUUAUGCAGGGCGUACUGUGCACAGUUUUCUCAAAAUUGUCUCUGGAAGAGGCUUUAAGAACCAGUGCCGUCUCAAGAAAAUGGAGAUACUUGUGGACAGUUUGUCCUAAACUGAGUUUCGAUGGAGAUACAAUAUGUGGCAAGAAUAAUUAUGGGGAAAGAGGGUAUAAUCNNNNNNNNNNNAAGAGUGUAUAAUCUAGUGUUCAGUCGCAUUGUUAAUAGGGUCCUGGGACAGUGCCGUGGCAAGUUGGUUGAAGAGCUUGAAAUCAAAAUUGAGUUGAACUGGAUGCUGGUUGAGCAUCUUGAUAAUUGGGUUCGUUUUGCUGUAUCAUCGCGGACAAAGGCACUAGUUUUUGAUUUAGCACGAGAACAGCGUCAACCUCCAGGUUCUGAUGAUCAGUACAAAUUUCCAUUUGAGCUUUUGGACGGGGACAGUAUAUGCCGUCUACAGAAACUUCAUCUUAGCUUUGUAGAUUUCCAGCCACCAAUGCAUUUUAGUGGUUUCCCUAACCUAAGGAAGCUUGAUCUGAGCAUAGUGAAUGUCAGUGGGAAGGAUAUUCAACAUAUGUUGUCAAACUGCUGUAACCUGGAGUGGCUGAGUAUUGUUAGAUGUCAUCUCAAUGGUGAACUAAAGGUUAACGGCCCACUGCCUCACCUGCUAUACUUGAAAAUUGCCUCCUGCAGAUUAACAAAUAUAGCAUUCAAUGCUGUGAACCUUGCGACUUUCGAAUACAGAGGAGUGGCGGUGCCUAUUGACCUCAGUAAAUCAUCAGAACUGAAAUGUGCAAACAUAUGGUAUCUUGGAGACACGUUGGAGCACACUAUUACAGUUCUUGGUGAAGUGCUUAUAAAUGUGCAACAGCUGACCCAUAAUGCAGACUGUAAAUCACCAGAGGUUUGCUCUUCAACCAUCUUUUAUAUCGUGGAUUAUCCUAUUAUAUUAUGUAUUCGUGUCAUGGCCUUUGAUUAUCUAUCUUUCAGGUUCCCUGUUUGAUGUCUUACCCGUUCAAGUUUUCUCGGAUGACAUAUUUACAACUGAAGUUGGUCUAUGUCGAAGAAAUCGACAGCUUGUCGUUGGUCUCUUUUCUGAGGUCUGCUCCUUCAAUUGAGAAGUUAGAGCUGCAUGUAAGUACUCGUAUGUUUUUUUGGCUGAUAGUCUAUACAUUUCUUAUUAGUAUUACUACAUUAUAGCUUCUUCUAAGGCACUGCACGUCUCAUUUUUGAACUAUGCAAAUGUCAUGCUUACAACUGAGAAGCAUAUUAGUCCGAGUAUAAAACGUGAUAAGCCAAGUUGUGCUGAAGAAUUUCUUUUUAUCUGUGUUGUUGCAUAUACUGUCUUCUUGGAACUAAUGCAUGGAGAUUGACUUUUAGACAGGCUUGCCGUUCCUCGUCCAGUUUAAAUCUUUCAUAAACUAAAAUGACAAUUUGAUAAAACUCUGUCAGCAACUUGGUCACGUACUCAGAUUAUUCAUUGACAUUUGAUUAUAGAUAGAUAAAAUGGAUAAUAGAUUAGUCACAAGCCUUCUCACUUCAUUUUUGGUUCAAAAUUGCAGUUCUGUAAUGUUGCUUAUGAGCGCGUGGUACAAGAACCUAAACCUAUGAGGAAGCUUUCGGAGCGUCUGUUCAACGACAUGAAGAGCUUGCAUAUUACAGGAUUUGAAGCAUGCAAGGGGGAAGUUGAGUUCCUUCUGCACAUGGUAGAAAAUGCCCCUGCAUUGGAGUUCUUAUGUAUAGAUCACUCGUAUCAAUAUCCACCAGAAGGCCUUCACAAAGACAAAGAACUGGAUGUUGACUUGCUUCAUACAACUAUAAGAAGGCAUCUUAAAGGAAAGAUUUCACCCAGUUGCACCUUGAUUUUACUUUAAGGGAUCAGUUGUUGUAGGGAUGUAUAGCCAUGGAUCAGUUGGUUAAUUUUCUUAGUUUAGUUUCACUGGCAUUAACAAUCAACGAUGCUGGUGCCAUUUCUAUCUCCUUGAGACAAGAACAAUGUUGGUCUCAUUUAGUGAAAGGAGGGUUCGAUCCCUUUUGUAAGCAUCAACAUUGUAACUACAUAUCAUGGAUAAGCACUGCAGGCACUUUUGAUUUCCUUUGUUGGAAAUGAUUUAUGAUUGUUAUGCAAAACACAUUGCAGCUGCAUCUGUCACUCUACUUUGUAGUUGCAGGUGUUUGUCUCAAAAACUUGGUGUAAACCCAACUAGUUAUACAUGCCAACAAAACAUAGUUUGGCACCUCAGCUGCACAUGUUUGUCUCGUAGUUUCUGCUACUAUCAAGACACAUAUAGUAGAUCUACUCGGUGAUGAGGGAAAGAAGAACAGGACCUCGACGAAAGAGCGAAGGAGAACGCAUAAGGAUGUUGUCGAUGCUGAUAGCCUCCUUGCGAGGGAGGUGUGGCGGCACAUCGACGACCGCCCUCGACACCCAAUACCGGAUCAUCGCGCGUGCCUCGUCAGCACUGGAAACCAGCACCACCUGGACGCUCUCCUCAUCCGCAAGCUUGUCCUCGGCGGCAGCAGCGGCACGCGCUGCUGCUGCGGCAGCGCGUCUCUGCACCAUGCUCAUCAUGGCGAGGACGUGAAUGCACGUGGUCGAGUGCCAGACGGACGACGAGGAGAGCGGUGGUCGGAGGAGCCACCCUGGAUGCUGGAAGCCUCGCGAGCGCGUGGCGGAUCAGUAAGUGCAUGCCAUCAUCAGCUGCUGCAGCGGUCGUCGGAGCACGCGGGCNNNNNNNNNNNNNNNNNNNNNNNNNNNNNNNNNNNNNNNNNNNNNNNNNNNNNNNNNNNNNNNNNNNNNNNNNNNNNNNNNNNNNNNNNNNNNNNNNNNNAGACUGGGAUUUGUCACUCCGUGUGACGGAGAGGUAUCUCGGGGCCCACUCGGUAAUACAACAUCACACACAAGCCUUGCAAGCAAUGUGACUUAGUGUAAGUUGCGGGAUCUUGUAUUACGGAACGAGUAAAGAGACUUGCCGGUAAACGAGAUUGAAAUAGGUAUGCGGAUACUGACGAUCGAAUCUCGGGCAAGUAACAUACCGAAGGACAAAGGGAAUGACAUAUGGGAUUAUAUGAAUCCUUGGCACUGAGGUUCAAACGACAAGAUCUUCGUAGAAUAUGUAAGAUCCAAUAUGGGCAUCCAGGUCCCGCUAUUGGAUAUUGACCGAGGAGUCCCUCGGGUCAUGUCUACAUAGUUCUCGAACCCGCAGGGUCUGCACACUUAAGGUCUGACGUUGUUUUAUGCGUAUUUGAGUUAUAUGGUUGGUUACCGAAUGUUGUUCGGAGUCUUGGAUGAGAUCAUGAACGUCACGAGGGUUUCCCGAAUGGUCCGAAAACAAAGAUUGAUAUAUAGGAUGACCUCAUUUGAUUACCGGAAGGUUUUCGGAGUUACCGGGAAUGUACCGGGAAUGACGAAUGGGUUCCGGGAGUUCACCGGGGGGGGGCAACCCACCCCGGGGAAGCCCAUAGGCUUUGGGGGAGUCACACCAGCCUUUAGUGGGCUGGUGGGACAGCCCACAAGUCCCCUAUGCGCCAAGGAUAAAAAUCAAAGGAGAAAAGAAAAGAAAAAGGGGAAGUGGGAAAGGGGAAGGACUCCCUCCCACCAAACCUAGUCCAACUCGGUUUGGGGGGGGAGAGUCCUCCCCCCUGGCUCGGCCGACCCCUUGGGGAUCCCUUGGGCCCCAAGGCAAGGUCCCCCUCCCUCCUCCUAUAUAUAUGGGGCUUUUAGGGCAGAUUUGAGACGACUUUCUCACGGCUGCCCCCAUCGGCCGAACCCCUUGGGGCCUCUUGAGCCCCAAGCAAGGCUCCUCCCCUCCCACCUAUAUAUACGGAUGUUUUAGGGCUGAUUUGAGACAACUUUUCCACGGCAGCCCGACCACAUACCUCCACGGUUUUUCCUCUAGAUCGCGUUUCUGCGGAGCUCGGGCGGAGCCCUGCUGAGAUUAGAUCACCACCAACCUCCGGAGCACCGUCACGCUGCCGGAGAACUCAUCUACCUCUCCGUCUCUCUUGCUGGAUCAAGAAGGCCGAGAUCAUCGUCGAGCUGUACGUGUGCUGAACGCGGAGGUGUCGUCCGUUCGGCACUAGAUCAGAGCGUAUCGUGGGACGGAUCGCGGGACGGUUUGUGGGACGGUUCACGGGGCGGAUCGAGGGACGUGAGGACGUUCCACUACAUCAACCACAUUUAUUAACGCUUCUGCUGUGCGAUCUACAAAGGUACGUAGAUCGGAAACCCCCUCUCGUAGAUGGACAUCACCAUGAUAGGUCUUCGUGCGCAUAGGAAAUUUUUUGUUUCCCAUGCGAUGUUACCCAACAGUGGCAUAAUGAGCUAGGUUCAUGCGUAGAUGCCUUCUCGAGUAGAACACAAAAGUUUUUGUGGGCGGUGAUGUGCGAUUUGCUGCCCUCCUUAGUCUUUUCUUGAUUCCACGGUAUUGUUGGAUCGAAGCGGCUUGAACCGACAUUACUCGUACGCUUACGAGAGACUGGUUUCAUCGCUACGAGUACUCUGUUGCUCAAAGAUGACUGGCGAGUGUCGGUUUCUCCAACUUUAGUUGAAUCAGAAUUGACCGAGGAGGUCCUUGGAUGAGGUUAAAUAGCAAUUCAUAUAUCUCCGUUGUGGUGUUUGCGUAAGUAAGAUGCGAUCCUACUAGAUACCCAUGGUCACCGCGUAAAACAUGCAACAACAAUUAGAGGACGUCUAACUUGUUUUUGCAGGGUAUCCUUGUGAUGUGAUAUGGCCAACGAUGUGAUGUGAUAUAUUGGAUGUCUGAGAUGAUCAUGUUGUAAUAGAUAAUAUCGACUUGCACGUCGAUGGUACGGCAACCGGCAGGAGCCAUAGGGUUGUCUUUAAACUAACGUUUGUGCUUGCAGAUGCGUUUACUAUAUUGCUAGGAUGUAGCUUUAGUAGUAAUAACAUGAGUAGCACGACAACCCCGAUGGCGACACGUUGAUGGAGAUCAUGGUGUGGCGCUGGUGACAAAGAAGAUCAUGUCAGUGCUUUGGUGAUGGAGAUCAAGAAGCACGUGAUGAUGGCCAUAUCAUGUCACUUAUUAAUUUCAUGUGAUGUUAAUCCUUUUAUGCACCUUAUUUUGCUUAGAACGACGGUAGCAUUAUGAGGUGAUCUCUCACUAAAAUUUCAAGACGAAAUUGUGUUCUCCCCGACUGUGCACCGUUGCUACAGUUCGUCGUUUCGAGACACCACGUGAUGAUCGGGUGUGAUAGACUCAACGUUCACAUACAACGGGUGCAAAACAGUUGCGCACGCGGAACACUCGGGUUAAGCUUGACGAGCCUAGCAUGUGCAGACAUGGCCUCGGAACACAUGAGACCGAAAGGUCGAUCAUGAAUCAUAUAGUUGAUAUGAUUAGCAUAGGGAUGCUUACCACUGAAACUAUACUCAACUNNNNNNNNNNNNNNNNNNNNNNNNNNNNNNNNNNNNNNNNNNNNNNNNNNNNNNNNNNNNNNNNNNNNNNNNNNNNNNNNNNNNNNNNNNNNNNNNNNNNAGAGAGGGAGAGGGGGGGGAGAGAGAGAGUGUGUCACGCCCAAGAUGCGAUCCUAUACUCAAUUUGGCACGAAGGCCUCGUCAGGGAUAGAAGCGCAUCUUGUCGUGUCGCAAGAAUGGAUAUCGUUACAAGUACAUGUACUGAAAAGAAGAGAUAUAUAUAUAUAGAAUUGGCUUACACUCGCCACAAGCUACAUCAGAGUCACAUCAGUACAUUACAUAAUCAUCAAGAGUAAGAGUAGGAUCCGACUACGGACGAAAACAAACGAGAAAAGAAGAACGACGUCCAUCCUUGCUAUCCCAGGCUGCCGGCCUGGAACCCAUCCUAGAUCGAUGAAGAAGAAGAAGAAGAAGAAGAAGAAGAAGAAGAAGAAGAAGAAGAAGAAGAAGCAACUCCAAAUGAAUAAUCAACGCGCUCGCAUCGAGUAACCUUUACCUGUACCUGCAACUGGUAUUGUAAUAAUCUGUGAGCCACAGGGGACUCGGCAAUCUCAUUUCCAAAGGUAUCAAGACUAGCAAAGCUUACUGGGUGAGGCAUGGUUAAGUGGUGAGGUUACAGCAGCGGCUAAGCAUAUAUUUGGUGACUAAACUUACGAGUACAAGAAAUAAGAGGGGGAAGAUCUACGCAUAACGGACGUGUCUACUGAUGAUCAAAUGAAUGAUCCUGAACACCUACCUACGUCAGACAUAACCCCACCGUUUCCUCGAUCGGAGAAGGAACUCACGAAAGAGACAGUCACGGUUACGCACACAGUUGGCAUAUUUUAAUUAAGUAACUUCAAGUUAUCUAGAACGAGUGUUAACAAAGUUUCCACGUUGCCACAUAACCGCGGGCACGGCUUUCCGAAAAGAUUUAACCCUGCAGGGGUGCUUCAACUAGUCCAUCACAAAUUACCACAAGCCGCAUAGAAAUCCUCAAUCACGAAGCUCGCGAUCUCGUCGGAUUCCCUAGUGGAAAACCUCAACUUUGAGAUUACCCAAAGCAUCACCGGAAUCCCGAUGCACAGGAUAUUUCGUCAAAGGUAAAACUAAUCCAGCAAGGCCGCCCGACGUGUCGACGAUCCCGAUAGGAGUCGCGUACCUCGUUCUCAGGACACGACGGAUGGGUCACACUAGGAGAUACCAAACCUCGGGUUGCCCCAUGGUGGCCCCGUAGUCUGCCAAUUUGGACCAACACUCAUGAGGAGUACAUGCCCGGGGGUUGAUUAAAUUAUCCUCGGGUUAAUUACUCCCUAUGCAGUUCAUUAGUUAUUAGGCAAAUGUAGUACCAAAGUUGGGCCUUGCCAGACCAUCUUUAAUCUAAAACGAAUUAUCAAGGGGGUCCCCAUAACAACCCCGAUCGUGUUAGGAGCGCUCAUUUAUGGAACAUAACACCGGUAGCCGAAACUAAGGGGGCAAAGGUGGAACAAAACAGCAGGCUAUAAAGGCCGAGCCUUCCACCUUUUACCAAUCAUAUAGGUGCGUUUAAAUUUAAAUAACAUUAAAUAGGGUGAUAUAACAAGGAACCCAUUGUUAUCACAUGGAAGCAACUACACCUGCAACUAGCAACGCUAACAACAUGGAUAAGCAAGCGGUAACAUAGUCAAUCAGUGGUUUGCUAGGUCCAACAGGUUGAAGGUUAUCAUGGCAUUGUUGAGAGGCUGAUAUGUAAACAUGUGGUAGGCAACGAGACAUAACGUUAGAAGCUAUAAAACUAGCAUGGCAAUGAUAGUAAUGGUAUCUGGGUAAAUGGUCAUCUUGCCUGAGAUCCCGCUUCGAAGAAGAAUGCCUCCGAAAAGUCGGCGAACCAACGUAGUCGAACGGGUCCUCACAAUCCGACACGCUUGCGAAACUCUAUCGAGACGGAGCAAACCGGAAACAAACAUCAACACAGAUAUUCACCUCACGAUGCACAACAUGAUGCACAACCUACUAUGAUGCAUGAUCAGUUCAAUGAUGCAAGGCAUGGCAUGGCAGUUCACCUCACGCAAACUCUAUACAUUAAGUGAAGCUCGAUAUGCAACGGGUUGCAUAUCAACGAAACUCCACGAUUAAUUAUUUAAUUCACUCCCAAUUAUUUACACGGCAAUAUUAAAUCGUUGUUAACAUGGCAAGGGGUGAAGCGGUGGUCCUACAUGUCAUCCUAGUCGAUAGCACGCGGGACUUAGAACGGAGUUACGGCACAAGAGACAUGCAACGCACGAUAUAUAUGCCAUGAAUGCGUCAUGCAUGCAAGUUCAAACAUCACGGGCAAGAAGAGAAAGAAACAUGUGUCGCCAUGGCGAGAGAGAGGGAACCAUGGCGGCAAAACAGAAACGAUGACACGGCAACGUUCCUAUCCCGAUAACUCGUCGAGAUAUCGUGCCAACGUAUAGGAAGCACGUGCGGGAACGCUAAAUAAGAUGGGGUGAUCCCGUUACUGGGUUCCCAUGUGUCGAGGCUCAACGAAAGAGGUACACGUGCAACGGGCAAACAUACGACACAAACAUACAUUCAUCUCAUACAUCACAUGCACACGGUCACGACAACGUCCCAUCGGUAUACCUUCGAAGCGUGCAUAUCGGAGCAGAUCGGUUCGUAGCGGGCGUUCGUGGAAGUCGUGGUACACAGUCUCGUCGACGGUAGUCGUUCGCUCGGCAUUGUGGUUCACGGGUCUUCGGCAUCGGUAGUCGAACACGGGUCUUCGGCGUCGUCAAGGAAGACGUGGUGCUCGGCGAAUUUGUCGGUUCCGACGAAGGAAGGAAUGGUCUACGCGGCGACAUAACAAAAGUAAGCAACAACAAUCUACCUCGGCAACAGCAAAAAUCAGCAGCAACUAGCAUCUGGCAACAAGAGUUACAAGCUACCUAGCAAGCAAGCAACAACUAACUACAGCAACACGCAAGCAAGCAUAACGCAGCAAAGCAAGCUAGCUAAGCGGCAUGCAAUAGCAGUUAACAGACAAAAGCUAACUAACUAAANNNNNNNNNNNNNNNNNNNNNNNNNNNNNNNNNNNNNNNNNNNNNNNNNNNNNNNNNNNNNNNNNNNNNNNNNNNNNNNNNNNNNNNNNNNNNNNNNNNNUUUAGUARGUUUGUGAACAMYAAUUGGUUGUACCAAAUACAUGAGAGGGAGGACGGCCGGAGGGACGGGAAAGGGAGGGACGGGACCGGGAGGGGGAGGAGGGAGGAGGCCGGAGGCGGAGAGGGGGGAGCUGGAGAGGAGAUCUCUUGUUUUCCAGGUUUGAGAAAGGUUCUAGAAGGUUUUCUUUUAAUUUUGUGUUUUCUUCCUUUUUGGUUGUUUUUUCUAUGGGUUUUACCCAACUUUUCAUGGAUUUUUAUAUUCCAGUGCCUUUCUUUCUGGUUCUUUUUACUUUUUCCUCUAUGUUUUUAAAAUUUUCUUUUAUCUUCUUUUAUUUUUUUUCAUUAUUAUAGUUAAAGAACAUAUAAAAAUCGGCAAUCCCUUUUUCAUAAUUGGGAAAUAUCUUUGUAAUCGACGAACAAUUGUAAACAUUCAUAAACUGUGAACAGUUAAAAAAUCCAGAUUUUUCUAGUUUGAAAACAAAAUUGCACAUUCACAAAUCUGCUAAUAUUUUUUAAUAAUUUGUGAACAUUUUUCUCAAUUUGUUUUCCUAAAUUCAGCAAAAGAAUCUCGAGCGUUUUUUUAACAUUCCUGAUAAUUUUGUCAAUAUGUGAACAUUUUCAUAUACAAGACCAUUAUUUUGGACAUUUGUGAAAUUCAUGAAACAUCUGACAAUUUUUUGAAUAUUUUUUCAAAGUGAGAAACAUUUGUCAGAAGACAUGAACAUCUUUUAAAUUUAUAAGCAUUUUGCAAUCUUAUGAUUAUUUUUUUAGAAUUGGGAACAUCUUUAAAAUCCAUGAACUUAUUAUAAAUUCCUGAACAUAUUUCAAAUCCUUGAACGUUGUAACGAUUGACAGUUUAAAAAAAAUCAUCGACUUAUUUUCAGUUGACAAACAAUUUCGAAAUUUCUGAAUAGUUUUCGAAAUUGGGUUCAACAUGUUUUUUUUUCUAAUAUACGGUAUUUUAUUUCAUGAUAAUUUUUAGCUUAAAAAGAUAACUGAAUACAAAUUAUUUUCCAACAAUAUGAAAACGAGAAUUGUUCCAAACCAUGUGCUGGAUGUGUGCCUCACUGUAAAUUCACGGUUCUUAUAGACUGUUUCAAACUGCACCGAGCCUCAAGCCUCAAUCCCUAGAUACUACAGCCUCCACAUUUAACUUCAUCAAAUUCGCCGGAGGAGGUAGCAAUUCUCAAUGACUAGGCUUAUGAGGCGCAAUUCUCAAUGUCUUGGUGGUCACCUGGUCGGUCCCUGUAUUGUAUCAAGGUCGGCAAGAAAGGUUCGACCAGUUUAGAGCAUGUAACACACGCUAACUAGGCCGACACAUGUACGUUGGUUUUCUACUAAACUCGUAUUUAUGCUCUUAUUCCUGCUACAUGCACAAAAGGUUCGACAAGUUUAGAGCCCUUUUCGUAAUUAUUUGAAUUUUUUGGAAAACAAUCAUGAUUUCAGAAAUACUGGGAAAACUUAAAACAAUCUAGAAGUUAGAUUAUAUAACGUAUUCAUUAGUUUCGAAAAUUAUUUGUAUUAAUUACUUUGCCAAAUUAAAAUGUUGUGAAAUUUUACAAUAUGCAUUGCUAAAAUAAAAAAUAUUAACGUUUUAAAACUUAUUUAUGCAUUUCAAAAAGUUCAGGAAUUGAGAAGUGUUCUAAAAAUAUACCUUAAUAAAAUAAAAAAUUAAAGUACUUAAAGAAUUAUCGGUAAAUAAAAAAAAUGUCUGUCAACUUUCAAAUAUUACAGUAUUAAAUUAUUAUAGUGAUUUGGAAUUAUCAAAGUUAUUUGUCAACUUUAUAAAAACAACAAUGUUCACAAUAUACAGAAUUUUAAAAUUAUUCAUAAAUGUAUGAAAAUGUCCGCAAAUUUGAAAACAUGCUUGAAAUAUUAAUUAUUUCCGAUUUUUCAGAAAAUAUUCAACUAUUGCCUUACAUGCAGACAAGGGGAAGCCGCAGAAAGGCAUCUCAUGUGAAAUUAUCUUCUCUAUAUAAUCCUCCUAAACUGCCGUCAAAGCUCAUAUACUAGUUCACGCUGUGUCGGCCCUGGGAAAGGGCCACGACCAACAUUUAUAAAUAAAUGUACUAAGGAACGAUAAAGAUAGAGGCUUAACUGUCCGACCAGCAAAUCGGUAAACCCUAUUCCACGUGUACUCGUUAGGUGGGCCGCCCGUAUGUUUCACUUCAUGCGAGACAGUGGAAAACCUCACCUGUAGGGGGGCGCGAGAUGGGCUGGGCCAGACACACGUAAGGUUACAACCUCGAUAAACAUGGAUUACAAAAUGUUAAACUUGUAUUUGAAAAAUAUUAAACAUGUAAAAGACAAAUAUAUUAGAUAUUUACCAAAAAUGUAUAAUGUUAUAAAAAGAAAACAUAAAAAACUAUAAGAUUUAAAAAAAAUUAAACAUGUAUUUAAAAAAUGUUGAACAUGUAUAUAAUUUUUUAUGAUGUAUAUUAAAAAUGCUUAAAUAUGUAUUGAAAACAGCGAAAAACCAUAAGAAAAACUUGAAGACCGAGAAAGGUACAAAAAAUGGAGAAGUGAAGAAAGAAAAGAGAAAACCCGAGUAAAAACAAAAAAUAGCCUGAACAAAACAAAAUUGAAGAAAAACCCAUGAAGAAACAACGAAAACCAGUAAGAAUCAUGAAAAAAUUGAAGAAACAACAAAAACCGGUAGGAACCCGUGAGGAGAAACCGAGGAAGUAAUUGUAAAAAAUUGAGGAAAAAUGAAGAAACCCAAUGAAAAAUAGAAAACCGUAAAGAAAAACAGGCGAAACCAGCCAAGAGAUCAAACAUGGUGAACACAAUAGAAAUCCAGCGAACGACAAAAUCGAGUAUGGGUCAACCCAAUAGCUUCAACUACAAUAGUGGGAGCAGUGGCGGAGGACGAAAAAAAAUAAGGUGGGGCGAACUCCAAGCCCAAAAAAGUUGGAUGUGAAACCAACGUAUAUAACACACAGUAACACAUACAGCUGCUAACACACAAUGUACAUUAAUAUUUUAAAUGAUCCUAAACAGAAUAAGCGGUAAAGAAAAUGUAAACAUGUUUGUCUAAAUAGAAUAACAAUCUAAAACAUACCGCUUAAUAGUGAAGCUUUAAUGGCGCCUAGAAGACCCAGGCAAUGGCAGUGCCCUACCAUCCUUUUGAAAACUUUCCUUGAUUUUACCAAGAUCUAGACUUUUGAAUAUCCCACGUUCAAUGUAACACACCAUCAAGUCAUUAAGCCAGCAACCGGACAUCUUGUUGCGCAACUCAGUCUUAAUGAUUUUCAUUGCUGAAAAGGCCCUUUCAACCGUUGUCGUGGCCACCGGUAGUAGCAGUGCCAACUCAAUGAGGCGAUAAACCGUAGGGAACAUGAUAUGCCUUUUAAGUUCAACCAUCUUUUUAGCUAGGCUUGCAAUAUCAUGACAAGCUCUAAAGUCUUCGACCCUUCUGAUAUGAAUAAUGAAUAGCUCAAGGUUAUCUUCUAUGUGUUCACGUUCAUAAUUAGAGAAAUCCGCAUGAUAAAUCUCUGUGAGUUGUGCAAGCUUAACCACAUUGAACCUAGAAAAUGAGUUUCUUGGGUCAUGACAAGAGAAGUUUUGGAGCAGCUUUGAAGAUACCUCAUUGAAACGAUGAUCAAACUCUGUAGUGAUGGAGUCUAUAGCAACAUAGAAGGUGUCCACACGGAAAAAAUGAUCAGCGGUGACAUUGUUUCUUCCACCUUUUCUUGAUUUCCCCCAUUUUGUAAACAUGUCAUCCAUAUUUGGUAUUGGAAUGUCAUUUUUGGUGCAAAAUGCUUUAACAUCUUCCAAUAGUGGCUCCCAACCAUCAUUUCUCCAAUUGAUCAAACGUGUUCUCACGUUCAUAACCAAUGACAUUGCCUGGAAUGACGCAAUUAUAAUUCACAAGGUUAGAUGCAAGUCAAUUUACACGAACAACAUAUAUCAUGCUUACAACAUAACCAUCACAUACCUGAACAACAUUUUGAUCCUUCUUUUGCAAUAGAAGAGAUAAAUCAUUUGCAAUAGAAGUUCUGUAAUGAGAGCCCCAUCUUGUAUCUCCCGGUCUAACUAAAGAUGUUUCUUGAUUUUUCCCUCUUCCCGUGGGCACCUCACCUCCCUCAAUCUUAGCCAAAAGAACUUCUUUUUGCUUAUAAAGUAACAUAUCCUUCCUCCUACAAGAUGAACUGCUGAGAUUGACAAUCAUGGUCACAUAGUCGAAAAAAAUCCUCAACGCCCUUGCAACAUCUCGAAACUGCAACUACUAUCAAUUGAAGUUGGUGAGCAAAGCAGUGAAUAUAGAAAGCAUGUGGGUUCUCAUCACCAAUUAACUUUUGAAGGCCAUUAAAUUCUCCUCUCAUAUUAGAUGCACCAUCAUACCCUUGCCCUCUUAGUCUUGCAACAAGCAGACCAUGUUUAGCAAAAACCUCCAAUAAUGCCUUCUUCAAAGAUGCUGAUGUUGUGUCUGGGACAUGCUUAAUGCCCAAAAACCUCUCCAUGGUCUCCCCUUUUUUGCUCAAAAACCUGCACGAAAAUCAUACAAUUAGUUGUCUCACUAUACUAUUCUAGAUAGAACAAACUCAAAAGUACUUAACAUACUUCAACACGAACCUCACAACCACGGCCAUUUGUUCUUUCAACCGAAAUAUCACGACACUCAUCAAAUAAGAACAGAAGAAAAGGCAACCAUCCAUCUCUUCUUUGAUUGUCGUUUGGGUCGAACCGNNNNNNNNNNNNNNNNNNNNNNNNNNNNNNNNNNNNNNNNNNNNNNNNNNNNNNNNNNNNNNNNNNNNNNNNNNNNNNNNNNNNNNNNNNNNNNNNNNNNAGUUUUCUCCGGCCCCUCGAGCCUUCGGCUGCUCCCAUCGGGCAGCGAGGACGCCCACGCCGACCAUCCCGCCCCCGCCCCCGGCCGUGCACCCGCCCGCGUGCUCCGACGACCGCUGCAGCAGCUGAUGAUGGCAUGCACUUACUGAUCCGCCACGCGCUCGCGAGGCUUCCAGCAUCCAGGGUGGCUCCUCCGACCACCGCUCUCCUCGUCGUCCGUCUGGCACUCGACCACGUGCAUUCACGUCCUCGCCAUGAUGAGCAUGGUGCAGAGACGCGCUGCCGCAGCAGCAGCGCGUGCCGCUGCUGCCGCCGAGGACAAGCUUGCGGAUGAGGAGAGCGUCCAGGUGGUGCUGGUUUCCAGUGCUGACGAGGCACGCGCGAUGAUCCGGUAUUGGGUGUCGAGGGCGGUCGUCGAUGUGCCGCCACACCUCCCUCGCAAGGAGGCUAUCAGCAUCGACAACAUCCUUAUGCGUUCUCCUUCGCUCUUUCGUCGAGGUCCUGUUCUUCUUUCCCUCAUCACCGAGUAGAUCUACUAUAUGUGUCUUGAUAGUAGCAGAAACUACGAGACAAACAUGUGCAGCUGAGGUGCCAAACUAUGUUUUGUUGGCAUGUAUAACUAGUUGGGUUUACACCAAGUUUUUGAGACAAAACACCUGGCAACUACAAAGUAGAGUGACAGAUGCAGCUGCAAUGUGUUUUGCAUAACAAUCAUAAAUCAUUUCCAACAAAGGAAAUCAAAAGUGCCUGCAGUGCUUAUCCAUGAUAUGUAGUUACAAUGUUGAUGCUUACAAAAGGGAUCGAACCCUCCUUUCACUAAAUGAGACCAACAUUGUUCUUGUCUCAAGGAGAUAGAAAUGGCACCAGCAUCGUUGAUUGUUAAUGCCAGUGAAACUAAACUAAGAAAAUUAACCAACUGAUCCAUGGCUAUACAUCCCUACAACAACUGAUCCCUUAAAGUAAAAUCAAGGUGCAACUGGGUGAAAUCUUUCCUUUAAGAUGCCUUCUUAUAGUUGUAUGAAGCAAGUCAACAUCCAGUUCUUUGUCUUUGUGAAGGCCUUCUGGUGGAUAUUGAUACGAGUGAUCUAUACAUAAGAACUCCAAUGCAGGGGCAUUUUCUACCAUGUGCAGAAGGAACUCAACUUCCCCCUUGCAUGCUUCAAAUCCUGUAAUAUGCAAGCUCUUCAUGUCGUUGAACAGACGCUCCGAAAGCUUCCUCAUAGGUUUAGGUUCUUGUACCACGCGCUCAUAAGCAACAUUACAGAACUGCAAUUUUGAACCAAAAAUGAAGUGAGAAGGCUUGUGACUAAUCUAUUAUCCAUUUUAUCUAUCUAUAAUCAAAUGUCAAUGAAUAAUCUGAGUACGUGACCAA
rnacentral:lncRNA from 1 species